UCGAUCAACUCUCUCAAUUUGCCGAUCGACUCUCUCAAUUUGCUGUAUUCUCAUCAUUGGAAUCCAAUUGACGGACGAUCUCAACUCGCCCAGCACCGGACGGAGAAGAUCGGAGCCGACGGCGACGAAGCGAGCCCUCUUUUGUUUUCUUUGAUUUUCACUGUGUAUGUAUUUUCGUUUCACUUUUCUCUAUUCGAUUCUGUAUUAGUGAAACCCUAAUUUUCGGUUUGAAAUUGUUCUGUACCGAAAUUGUUCUUGAUUCUACUUUGAAUAAAAUUCAAUUUUCUUGAUUAUCAUGAUGAGUGUGGCUACUGUGUCUCCGAUUUUGAAUAAUAUUGAUAAUCUUGUUGGGUAUCUUAAGAGGCAAGAGGGUUAGAUUAUUCUGAUUACAGUGAUCUAGAGUUGAUAGAUCAUAGAGCCAAAAGGCUUAAGGCAGAGACUGAUGUUGAUGAAACCCCUCUGAGAUUUGGGUAUAUACCCAAGGGUUUAGUUGUUAGCAGUGAUGAGAUUGAUCGAAUACGCAAUCAAAACACCAAAAACUUACUCUUGAACCAUAAAAAACUUCACCUGGUGCUUGAUUUAGACCACACCCUGCUUAAUAGUACCUGUCUUGAUGAUUUGUCACCCGAUGAAGAGUAUUUGAAGACCCAAACCCAGGCUGAUCAUUCUCUGCAGUAUGUUAGCAUUGUCGAGACUCCUAGUAUGAGGUUGAUGACCAAGUUGAGGCCGUACAUUAGGACAUUCCUACACCAAGCCAGUCAAAUGUUUGAGUUGUCUGUUUACACGAUGGGUAGUCGGGAUUAUGCUUUGGAAAUGGUGAAGCUACUUGAUCCUGCAAACCUGAUCUUUGGUGGUAGGAUCAUAUCACGUAGCGAUAGCACAGUAAGAGAUAGGAAAAGUUUAGAUGUCUUGCUUGCGCGAGAAUCUAAUGUUGUGAUCAUUGAUGAUAAGAAAGAUGUAUGGGCAACUGACAAUCAGGAGAAUGUUAUUGUAAUGCCUAGGUACCAUUUUUUUAGGUCUAGUUGUCAAGAGUUUGGCCUAAGGAAUGUUAAGCCUUAUUCUGAGUUGAAGAGUGACGAAUGCGAUCGGUAUGGAGGAGCUUAUCUUGCAAGUGUGCUUCAGCUUCUUAGGCAUAUCCACAUUUUAUUCUUUAACGAAGUUGAGUCUCAAGAUCUUGUUGAUAGAGAUGUCAGACCAGUGUUACAAAUUCUGAAGAAGCAAGUUUUGAAUGGGUGUAAGAUCGUUUUCAGCCAUGUUUUCCCCUUGAGUGUCGAGGCAUCAACUCAUCCUUUGUGGAAGAUGGCUGGGCAAUUGGGUGCUACUUGUUCAACAGAGUUUGAUGCAGAUGUCACGCAUGUGGUUGCAGUAGACGCUCGAACCCAGAAGUCAAUUCGUGCAGUUAGAGAAGGAAAGUUUUUAGUAAAUCCGCAAUGGAUUCAUAUCACGAAUAUUAUGUGGCAAAGGCAACCUGAGGAUGAUUUCCCAUGUCAUUAGUCAAUUACCAACGCUUAGAAAAUCUUAACUUCACUGUGUUACCUCAACUUGACUAAUAAUUGUUGCCACUAAACUCAGGUUACCACACCCUACAAGAAUGAAUGGCAAGAGCAGCAAGUUUGGAAGUAAAACUUUCAAUCUAAUGACAAACCUUCUUUGUUUCAAAUUGUCUUCUGUGCUCUUGUCUCUCGUCUCAACUUUAUAUUCUCCCCUUAAGAACUUGUACCUAUUAUCUUUCCAAUUUAUAAAGUAAUAUUCCGGGAAUCAUGAAACUUUACGUGAUUCAGACUAGAAAAUUUUAUUUACCAUCUUAAGCCUAAUAGAAAUUUAAUGAAACAUCUAAAAAAAAAAAAGUUCAAUGACAGGAAUUAGGAUGGAAAAAAUAUAUAUAAUAAGGGCAUGAUUAUACAAAAAAAAAAAAUGCGGAAUGCCUUUACAUUGAAUUGGGAUGGUUGGCUCUUUGAGUUGGUGCAUAUGGUAGCUUCCUCAAUGGCAUUCAUCAUGAUGGUGUUGUAUACUUAGGGAUCAUAUUAUGUAUAUGUUCAAAGAUGCUUUUAUAGCUCGUGUACCCAUUGCUUUCAGUCACACUGUGAACUUCAUGCCAUAAAAGAAGGUCAUCAUUGAAACAGACUGUAUCCAAGUUGUUAGCGUCAACUCUAAUUACCAGUUCUAGCAUUUGGGGAAGAAGUGAUCUCUGGGUUUUGAGGAACACCUCUUUAGAACAUACUCCUAGGCAUUGUAAUAUUCCUCAUUUCAAGAACUGGGAUCUGAAGAAUAUCUUGGAUCGAAAUAACAUGUGUUCCACAGCAGCGAGGAAAUGCUCCGUACAUAUGCCUUAUCAUCUAGGCUUCAUAGCGGCGGAGCCGAAACUAUAGGUGGGGGCUGAGAUAUAAAAUACGAAAAAUGAUAUAUAAAAUUUUAAAUUGUUUAUUAAAAUUAUGUGAAAAUGAUAUGUUAAUUAAAAUUGAACUUAUUGUUUUUGUUGAUAUAUAGUUUCAUUUAUAUACAUGUAAAUGAUUAUAUAUUGAAAGUUUACAUGCAUGUAAAAUGAUUAGUUAAUAACUAAUCGAUUAUGAUGAUGAAUAUGGCAAGAUGCAACGAGAAAGGAGAUUAUAUAUAUAGAUCAAAAUAUCAAACUAAUCAUUAUUACGUGACAUAUUAUUACAUGAAAAACAGGCUAGACAAUAGUGAUGUAAUUGACCAUCUUUAAAAGGUUUGGGCUUGGUCUUAGUGUAGCUCCGUCAAUGAUCACAAGGGUGUAAUCAGAAGUCGGAGUUAUGGUGAAUAGAGAACUGGCAAGAAGUUGAGAGAAAACAUUAGGGACAUAAGCACUUGAGAGGCUACUUAGGCUAAUCCCAAGGGAAUUUUGGAGGAAAAACUAUAGAAAAAAAAUUCACCUAUAAAAUUUAUACAUGAAUGUAAUGUAUAUGUAUGUGUGGUUUAUGUAUUUUGCUGGAGCAUCAAUUCACUUUAAAAAUUAAUAAAUUUUCAGUUUAACAAUAUUAGGAGCAAGGAAGAAAAAAUCAAUAUUUUCGGCGAAAUAUCGAUGAAAAUUUCGUUUUUUUUCACACAGCGAAAUAUAUUUCUCACCCCAGAAUUUUUGGUCCGAAACUAUCGAUAUUUCGCGAUAUAUCACGAUAUUUUCGAUAUUUGGCCGAAACUAUUGAAAUCACCCAGAAAAAUUUCUCAAAAGAGGCUGCUCCACCGGCAGCCCAACUCCGGCCACCUCCAAUGCUCACUAAAAUUUAACACAAUCUUCCUCUCAACACGCACAACAACUUCCCUAAUUAGCACAAACACCAAUUCCAAGCCUAGAUAGGGUAAUCGAAUCAAAACAGUAAAUUGAGCCCUAAAACUUCAACUCACCAAUUCUCCCUACCUAGAUCAAAAGGGAAUGAAACCUUUUGAGGUUUUGUUGUACAGGAGGAGAGCUUCCAAACGAGACCAGCCGUGCCUUUUAUGGUGGCCGGAAAAGGUAGUUUCGACGACGACUCCGCCACUGUGUAGCCGCACCUUCUCGGUGUGAUUCCUCCCUCACGGCUACGCAACCCGACCAGUCACCUACCUAGACGUGAAGAGGAUGCUCCAAGCUUCAUUUCGACACCUGCUCGCCCCCUAUCUUGGCCGGACGGUGGCGAAGAAAAUCGGACAACGAGAGAGAGAGACUCAGGGAAGGAAGAAGAAGAAGAGAGAGAGAGAGAGAGAGAGAAGAGAGUUGGGCCUUCUCUCUCAAUUUUCCCAACCCAACUCCAAAAUAUCCAACACCAACAACAAUUCACCUUUUCACUAUCCAAAAAUACCCAACACCGACAGCACUAACCUUUUCACCUUAACUUACUACAACUCUCUAUAGAUCAAUGUUUAUUCAAAGUUUUCAUUUUAAAUAUAGUACAUAAUAUAGAAAACAAACAUCUCUUAAAGUUUGGUUUAAAAUUUCCUUGUUUUUCUUCAAAUUUCCGUCAAUUUUCUCUUUUUUUUACUGCAACCGAUAUUUUUCCCGAAAUUUUUGUCAAAAUUUCCAUAUUUUAAAGGGUCGAAAUUUUCGUAAUCAUUGAAAUUUUCUCUUGAUUUGAUCAGGAGAUAGGAACUUAUUUUUUUGAUAUGUGCGGAAUAGUCGGGUCGGGUUAGACCGGGUGAAUAUCACAUCACUAGCCCCACGUGGCGCGCACGCACCGGCUCGCAUUUCUGAUCCUCUCCUACCUACAUAAUAAAACCUAGACCGUUUCAAAUUUCAAUCUCCCUCACAAACCCAACCAACACAGAUACAGAUUUCAAAUCAACACCAAAAACCCAUGCAACCUAAUCCAGAUCAAUGGGACACGGUAUUCACUACGAUUCACUCUCCAAUUUCCAUUUCUCCAUUUCGAUUUUGAAAUUCGAAGAGAAAUUGAUUUUACAGCUUGCAAUCUUCCAGGUGAGAAAGGCCGCCCCAGUAAGAAGCUGAAGCUCAGACUCUCCAUCAAGGUCUCAUCAUUAUGCUUUCUUUUGUUCUUGUGAAUUUCACUAAUUUUUAUGAUACAGUUUUGCCAAUCAGAUGUCAUGUUUAUGCAGGAAACCGCAAAUGUGCCAAACGACGACGCUGGCUGCUUCGUCACUGAGCAAGAAGAAGAAGAUGACAAUGUCCGCCAUGGUAUGGUAUGCAUUUAAUGUUCAUCGCCUUGGUUUCCGAUUUUCAGUUUUUCUGAGUUUGAUUUUUGACUUGUAAUGUAAUGAAGCAAAAUACAGAGAUUUUACCAAACUAGAAUUGAAGCCUGAUCACCCGAAUCGCCCUAUAUGGGCCUGCCCUGAUGGCCGAAUAUUCCUCGAAUCUUUCUCCGCUUUGUACAAGGAAGCUUAUGACUUCCUCAUUGCCAUUGCCGAACCCGUUUGCAGGUACCAAUUGUUCAUGUGUGUAGUUUUAAUAAUUUCCACUUUUUCGUGUUUAAAAUGUUGUUGAGUUGAUGAGAGGAUUUUGGUUUGGAAUUGUUUGAAUAGGCAGGAGUUGAUGCACGAGUAUAACUUGACCCCGCAUUCGCUCUAUGCGGCUGUGUCAGUUGGUCUUGCAACUGAGACUAUUAUUUCUGUUCUUAAUAAGCUGUCGAAGAUCAAGCUUUCGAGAGAAGUUGUUGAUUUCAUACAAAGUUCUACUGCUAAUUACGGUAAAGUGAAGCUCGUGCUCAAGAAGAAUCGCUACUUUGUGGAAUCGCCAUUCCCUGAGGCAAGAAUUUUUUGGAUUUUGCUUUUUGGAGUAGUGGUUAUGGAUGCAUAGUCUGGUUUAUGUAGGUGUUGUUUUGUAAUGGUUUACAGGUGUUGGAAACAUUGCUCAGGGACGACUAUAUAUCUCAAUCAAGGAUUACUUCAGAGGUCGGUACCUUGAUCUGCAUUGAACUUGUAGUUAUAGGUGUAUGUUUCUAAUUUGUGUUCCAUUUCAUGAAGAAGAUACAUAUUAAUUUUACAUACACAAGUGGAGAAUUAUAGAUUAGCUAGCCAUUCAGCUUUGUUCACUGUACAUUUCUCUAUGUUUUCCUACAUAUAUAUGUGAAUGUGCUAAGGAACACAUUUUUUUUCUGGCAAUACUCUAAAUUAAUCUGAGUUCUUUUAUAGGGUUCUUGUGGAAAUGGUGGUUUUACUAUUAGCACAACAAUGGGUGAAAUUGGAGCUGGUCCUAGUGAUUUGCUAAAUGAACCAGAAUUGGCAACUGUUGCUGACAAAAAAGUAAUUCAGGCAUUUGAAGUUGAUCCUACAAAGGUACUUGCCUGCAAUUUUAAACUAAAACCCGAUUUCUUUGUUACUGCAUAUCCAGGGUUGCUUGGUAUCAGUAUCAUAUAGGCCCUUUCCCCUGUCAUAUUAUCCCAAGAUUUAAGCUCUAGUGUGCGUACUCAUGAUUUCCAUGUGAUGGGCGUCUUGCCAGCAUAACGAACUGGUUGCUUUGACAGUUCCGUACUUUGUUUUAAAGGCGAGACACUGAGACUAGAUGUUUUUUGCCUUAGGAGGUGAGGGAACUCUUUUGAGAUGAAGUAUUGUAUCUAAAACUAAAAAUGCCCUUAAUUACUGUGUUUCAUGGUAAGGAUCGUAACAUAGACCCGUUAUCCUAGUUUACCUUAACACAUACUGCAGUGGAAACCACAAACCACUUCUCACACAUUUCAUGUCAAAUUCAUGUUUCAUUUUAGAAAAAUGGGUAAAACUAAUGCUGACACUUCAGCACACAUUAGGUCAACACUACCACAACAGCUUGGAUCCACCGAAGUUUUCUUUGAGAUCAUGGGUUGCUACCAAAUGUUUGUAAUGAAACAAAAGCAUGUGCUUCCAUAUAUCAUUAUAUCCGCUGGAUUUCUACCCAAAUAGCCCCCCAGUGCAGUGGGUUCUUCUGAGUUAAUGAUUCCAGUUUCGGUAUGGAGUUGUAAAUUUGUAAUGUGUUUUUAGGGUCAAUUAGGCUACAGAUAAAGGAGAAAUGAGUGGCUUGCGAAGUGGUGUCUUCGUUUUACGCCAUAGUGCACUGCUUGCUCUUUUCCAGUAUGCUUAAAUUAAAGGUGUAUGCAUGUUGGAUUUAAACAACCAUACAUGUCAAAUAUGUCGGCCAUUCUAACGGUUUACUUGGAAUCUGAUGGGCAUUUGAUUGGUCGAGUGGCUAAAUAUCCUACAACUGUGAAAGUAUUUCUUUUUAUGCAGAUUAAUCAAUUUAUGAAAUAAUUCUUUACUUGGCUUUAGAUCAGAAAGUUCUUAAUGAUACCUAUUUUGGUUACUGACAGGUUGAGGAUGUUAAGCAGCAUUGCUUGCCAGAUUCUUUGAACUACCCCAUGUUGGAGGAGUAUGACUUCAGAAAUGAUACAGUGAGCUACUUUCUCCCUGCUACAUUGCUAUUCACUGAUAAGAGAUUAUUCAUCACAUAGAAGUUUUCUUUCUUUCAUUUUUUUUUCUUUUGUUGGUAUAUAAAAUUUUCACUCUUUCGAUAAUGUAGGUUAACCCUGAUCUUGACAUGGAAUUAAAGCCUCAGGCGCAACCACGACCAUAUCAGGAGAAGAGCUUGAGUAAAAUGUUUGGGAAUGGUGUGUUCUGCUUGUGCUUUAAAACAAGUUUCAAGCAUAUUUUGUUGAAGUAAUAAUCUCUUAAAUGACACCUUUACUCUGAGGCAUGCUGAAUCUUAUCAAGUGUGCUUCAACUUUGGGCAGGACUUUCAGUAAUAAAUUUCGAGAACCCUCUUCAUAUAUAUCUUGCAAGAACUGUACAUAUGCAGCACGGCUUGUUUCCUGUGGAUUUAAAGAAAACAUAUAUAACUUCCAUGGUUGAAAAAAAUUCCUCAUUUUCUUUUAAAAAUUGAUCUUGUUUCCUCCAAAUUCUCUUAAGUGGCAACCAUGGAUUUUAUCGCCUUAUAUUUUAUUUUGACAAAGCUUUCUGGUACUAUGAAAAGCAUUAAGAAAGUCUUUAGUAUGGAUGCUUUAAUUAUAUGUAAACUAUAUCAUUUGAUACGCAGGAAGAGCAAGAUCUGGCAUUAUUGUACUACCUUGUGGUGCCGGAAAGUCUCUAGUUGGUGUUUCGGCUGCCUCCAGGAUAAAAAAGAGCUGCCUUUGUUUAGCAACAAAUGCUGUUUCUGUUGACCAGUGGGCUUUUCAGUUUAAGUUGUGGUCAACCAUUGCUGAUGAACAAAUUUGUCGUUUCACGUCUGAUACUAAAGAAAGACUCCGUGGAAAUGCUGGGGUAGUUGUGGCAACAUACAACAUGAUUGGUUUUAAUGGCAAGAGGUCUGAAGAAUCUGAAAAGAUCAUAGAAGAAAUAAGAAAUAGAGAAUGGGGACUGCUUCUCAUGGAUGAGGUAAUUAUAUGAUUUUCUGUGGUGGACUCUUGUUACACUAGCGUACAUUACAAAUUGAUUAUAUCUUUCUGUUCAUAUAGGUGCACGUCGUUCCUGCUGAAAUGUUUCGAAAUGUCAUCAGGCUUACUAAAUCUCACUGCAAGCUUGGGCUCACUGGUAAGUCUGAUACAGCUUCAGGACAUGCUACUCUUCCUAGUGAUCUUUUAUUGUUUGGAAGUCCUAUAUCUAUUAAUGUCUACAAUUGCAGCCACACUUGUGAGAGAGGAUGAGAAGAUCACAGACCUUAACUUCCUAAUUGGUCCCAAGUUGUAUGAAGCAAACUGGUUGGAUUUGGUUAAGGGUGGAUUUAUUGCAAAUGUACAGUGUGCUGAAGUGUGGUGUCCAAUGACAUAAGACUUUUUUGUGGAAUAUUUGAAGAACGAAAAAUCAAAGAAAAAACAGGUGUGUCUAUUCUGAAACUUCACGCUCUUAUAGACAACAUAACGGAGUUGCAAUUUAGUUACAUGUGCAAGAUGUAGCAUUUCUUGUCUAGCCUGUCUAUGUUCUCUGAUGUCUUUGCCUAGUUCUUCAAAUCCUUGACUACUUUAUUCUCCUCAGAGACUUUAUGUCAUGAAUCCAAAUAAGUUUAGGGCAUGCGAGUUUCUUAUAAGGUUUCAUGAAGAGCAACGUGGUGACAAAAUUAUUGUCUUUGCUGACAAUCUCUUUGCCCUCGAGGAGUAUGCUAAGAAACUUCGGAAACCUAUGAUCUGUGGUAGUACCAGGUUGUUCAUGGAAAUUUUGGAUUUUAACUUCUUUUACUUCUGCUGUGAAUCUAAUGUAGAAUUUGUGUGGUCAACAAUCUAAUUCCAUCUUCUUUCUUGUAAUUUCAGCCAUGCGGAGAGGACGAAAAUUCUAGAAGCAUUUAAAACAAGUCAGGACAUAAAUACUGUAUUCUUGUCUAAGGUACUCUUAGGAUGUUCUCCUUGUAUAUUAUCAAGUCUGAAAAAGUGCCCCAUUUUGUUUUAAUUUCUCUACUCCAUGUGGAACACUCUCCUCUUUAACUUAUCUGGAAAAUGAAAAACCACAUGUUUGUCAAAAAUGAAUUUGUUGCACCAUUUAUAGCCAUCUUGAACUUUGAGUCGCCACUGACAAGUGGAAAUGCUCCUUCUAAGCUGGAAUUAACACUUAAUCUCAUAGCAAUGUUCAACAAUUAUAUGUUAAUUGCAGGUGGGUGAUAAUUCCAUAGACAUUCCUGAGGCAAAUGUGAUUAUUCAGAUUUCAUCACAUGCUGGUUCAAGACGUCAAGAAGCUCAGCGUCUUGGUCGUAUUUUAAGAGCUAAGGUUUGUUUCAAUAAUUAUUGUUAUGUACAUGUAAUCCUUGAUUUCUUCUGAUAUUAGGACUUGAUUACAAUUUUGUUGUUCGCUAAUGCAAGGAUUCUUUACAUCCUUGUUUGUCAUCGUUUUACACACAUGCUUACAUCUUUGUCACAUUCUCUCGGCAUAAGUUAGAGUUCUGAUUUUCUUUUGAAUCUUAAAAUCUGAUCGGUUGGCAUGGUUCAUUAAUAUCGAACUUGUCAUGUAUAACCUUUGAUUAAACAGGGUAGACCUCAGGAUCAGAUAGCAGGAGGAACACAGGAGUACAAUGCGUUCUUUUAUUCCCUUGUGUCAACAGAUACUCAGGCAUGCAUUGUUAAUGUGGUUGUGCUAACAAUUUAACUUUUUACAAAGGACUUUCUAGGUGCUAUACUAUUUUGUAAAAAGCUUGAGAUUGAGUUGGUGUCCAUUUGCAUUCAGGAAAUGUACUUUUCAACUAAACGGCAGCAGUUUUUGAUUGAUCAAGGUUAUAGUUUCAAGGUAUCCAUCCCUGAUCUAUCUAAUGGUCCUGUAGUGUGGUGCAUCAGCUAUCAGAACGUACCUCUCUUUGAUCUCUACGGUUAUCUAAUUGGCUUUUAAUAUAUAUACAUUAUUCGCAGGUUAUUACAAGCUUGCCUCCCCCUGAAUCAGGAGCUGAUUUGAGCUAUCAUUGUAUCGAAGACCAACUGGCCCUACUAUCAAAGGUCACUAAGUUCCAUCUCUUUCAAUUCUUUGCUGAAAACUUGAAUCUCUCACAUGUUUACUGAUUCAAGGUGUUGAGUACUGGUGAUGAUAAAGUUGGCCUAGAGCCACAUGAAGAUGAUCCGGAUGAGAUUGCCCUUCAAGCACGUCGUUCAACAGGAUCCAUGAGUGUAAUGUCGGGUGCAGAUGGGAUGGGUUACAUGGAAUAUAGGUAUGCUUGGUGUAGUUUUUUACUCUUUUGCUGCACUUGUAACUAAAUGACAUAUUUUUUUGAAUUAAAAUUUCUUUACGAGUCUAAUUCAUAGAUCAUCUCCUACUAUGCAGCACUAAGAAACGCAAGCACCGCGAAGCACAGACUAAGAGUAAGCCGAGGGAUCCAGCAAAGUGACAUCAUUUGUUUAAACAACGCCAUGGCUGAGACCAGGAAGGAGAGAGUAAAUAAAUAUCAGUGGGAGUCUGAGAUUGAUGCUUCUGUUCAUAUUUUUGAUGGUUUAUGAGCAAGUUCUCUCAUAACCCCAGUUUCCAAAUUAGGGGAAGAGAACCAAUUCUUUAUACCAUAGGACACAUUCUUUUUCAGUAUGCUCGCUCAAUAUUGGUGCCAUUAGCUGCAGAAUCAAGGACAUAAAAGAAUCACAUUAACAGCUAGACAAAAUGGCAUGGGCAAACUUAGGGGAGUAGACUCACAGAUACUAAAGAUACUUGGUUCAACAAUAAGACUUGAUUUAUGUGAGGUAAAUCACUCUUUCAGACAUAUAAAGACUAGCACCCAAAUGGUAUGCAACUCCGGCAACAAAAGGUAAAGGGAAAUCUAGCUUGAUUAACCGUAAGUAAUGAACUAAUGAUGAGUCGUACUUGCGAUGGAUGAGCCAAUAUCAUGUUUGGAAACUAGAGCUUUGUUACUACCAUAUAUUGACUACUUGGUAUCGACAUCCAUUGAGCAACUCGGUAGGCUUUGUGACACAACCACAUCUGAGCAACUCAAGGCAAGCUACUAUAAAUUGUUGGCCCUUAUCACCAUUUGGGUAAAGUUGAGUCCAUUCUAGUACUCUCACUUAGCCAAAAUCACCUCCUAAAUGGCUUUGAGCAACGGAGGGUUAUCAAUCAGUAGCUUGAAGAUACCGAGACAACUCUAGUUGGUGAAGAGUGAAGACUCGGUAGUCUAGUCGACUUAGAUCACAUCCGAUUUGAGAAGAAACAAGCUUCAUAAAGUAGUCUUCCAAUACCUGGUUUUUGUUCAAAUGUGGUACCUGCCUUUUGUUCAAGUGUGGAAUAGGGCUGUUCAUCGUAAACAUGUUCAAAAGAGGAACAAGGUAUUAAGCAAUCCUCCAAUUGAGCUUUCAGGAUAACUGAGCCUUUUUUUUGUUUGUGAAGAUUUGAAGAAUCACCAAGUUUUCGGUUCAUUUUUAAUUGAAGUUGUGAUUUUUCCUAGAACAUUUCAUGCAUGAGUUGAAGGAUGUUUGGGUGGACAUGUAAGCAAGAGCCUUUUGUACACAAAACCAAAUGUUACCAAAUAUCAAGCAAAGUGAUAGCAAAUUCUGAAAUACAUGGACAUUAUUCACCUCCAUCCUUUUUGUUCGUCUAAACUUUUCAUAAAGAAGGGCAGGAUGGUUUUCUGAUCUUCCGACGAAAAGGCCUACAUGCCUCGAUGCUGAGAUCAGCAGCCGCUGCAAGAGCCAUGAAGAUGGCAGCGUCUUCGACGCAUGUCACAUGCCUCAUUGCUAAUUGUACUAAUGGCUUGCUGCUUUUCCCUUCUCCUUGUACUCUACAGCUCAUGACAAAACCACCUUCAACUGGACCCAAAGCCGCAUAGUCUCCACUGCUUUGUGGACUUGGCAGCGGAGGGGCUGCUGCUGCGGCUGCUUGCAUCUGUCUGUCGGUGUCGAUGAAAAAUUCACCACCUUUUUCAGCAUUGAUGUGGAUCUCGGACAUGAGAAGCUCAGCUGCUUCCUGGCAUUCAGAUAAAAGGCGAAAUCGGCAGCAAACAGAGUCUCUAAUGCUACCGCGCUCACGCCAUGCCUCAAGCUUUGCCCAUGGCUGCCAGCUCUCAGGCCUGCACGGAUCAGGACUAACAAUCAACCAAGCUCCUGGGUUUGAUCUUGCAACCCAAUCACAACCUGUUGAUGGCACAAAUGGAGUGGUUAUAAAGGCUGCUGCAACAGCAGAGCCAGAAAGAUCAUGUAUUGUCACCUUCCAUCCUUUUCUCUCUCUUCUUUCUGUCUCGAGAUUAGAAUCAUCCACAGAACCUGACCAGUAAUUGCUCAGUGGAUCCACCUGGGGAACCCUGUCAAUAUAUUAACCCAUUAGUAACUUAAUUACUACAUUAUGGACGUUGAAAUUCUUAUUCACAAGUCACAACAGGGAGAGAAUGAAUACAUCAUAUAUAAAGGACACUUCAAAAACAGUAUCCAAAUCGGUCAUAACUUUCUAAUACUGACAAACAAUUCUUGAAUUCUUGGAAUUUUAACAAAUCUUGCAUUAUUAGUGCAUGUAUAAUCUUUAAAAACAAACAAAAUGAAAAAUUAUCUACCAGAGUUGAGGAUUAGGAAACAAAGCAAGCAUGGGGCAGGAAAAGAUGCAAGAGUAAGACAGCACAAUGAAAGCAAAGUUUUUAUGAUAAUCAAUCAGCAUCUGCACUAUCAAAUAGGACAAACUUAAGAAGGGCAAUUGCCGUUCAAAAAUUAUAUAUUCAGCAAGAAUCUAGAAAGAGCAAAAUAAUUUGUUUAACAGUAGCUAACAUUCUCCUUUCCAGUCAGUGUUAUAUUGUUGUCCUCUAUUACUUCACUCUCUUUUUUUUUAAGCAAUCCUCACAAUUGGAAUCUACACUGCAGCCGUCUGAAUAUAUAACUACUGACAAUUAAAGACAUCGUAUAAGUCAUAUCACCUGUCCCGGCUAAACCUGCAGCUGAAAAUAGGCUGCUUAUUGGAACCUUGAAGCUGAACAAUCUGCGGACUUAGUCUCGUUGCAUCGUCAAACUGGAAAACAUAUCUUGGAUCAGGAUCAAGUCUUACUCUCAAAUGAAGCUCCACGCUCAGUUUUCCACUCUCCUGCUUGUUUUUGCCAAUACCUAUCCACCCACUGAAGAGGACAACCGGUUUUCCUGCUCCCCAUUCAGGACCAACCUCCAGCUUGAAUGUCCCAAUUUGCUGCCUUUUGACCCCUACGCCACAAUGGGACCCUUUUCUCCCUGUAAAAACAGCAAUCUCCAGACACGCAUGCGGGUUGUAGAAACAGCCAGGUACCAGCAUCGCUUUGACAUCUGAAUGUUCAAGAUAAAAACUGGAGGCUAUGCUAUGAGAAUCAGGUGCAGCUUCAGGAGAUGAUAGCAAGGGGACUGAUACUGUCUGCACAGGGAAUCCUCGAAGGCGAAUUUCACACAGACAUGGAGAAGAGAAUGCAUGAAUCCCAGACUUUUCAGAUUUCAAAGCUGUUCCAGGAAUCCUCAAUCCUAGUGAGCCUAUUGACAACCUAAUAAAAGCCUGAGGAUCCAUUCUGGUCACAAAGGCCUCCCCAUUUUCUCCAAAGCCAUAUUCUUGAACAUAUUAAAAAUUUGUAUGCAUCUGAAGAAGAGUGAAAAUUAGAUAUCAAUAAGUCAAUCUGAAAUGAAGAAUCUAAAUCAGCACAAUAGUUUCAGUCAUGGGCCUCCAGAAAUGUUUCUCGUAGCGUUAGUUUUAUGAUUAAAUUUUCUAAUCUAAAACUAUAAAGAUGCUGGUAGGAUAAUGUUUCCUUCCUGGUUUCUUUGAAAUGAGAAGAUAGAAGAAAAUGAUAGAUUUACAACUUCUAACUGGAAGAAACCCAAGUCUAAGAAAGUUUCAGUCCUUCACUGCAUUAACAAAAACUAAAAAAGCCAUUUGCUUAUAAGAAAUUUCAUGAAUAUAACACCCAUCUGCCAUUGACUAAGCCUCGUAGACUUAGAGACGCAGAGCCAUAAAUUAUCUGUCUUAGCAUCCCAGCAGUUACUCUAUUUAUCAAAAAUUGGAAACCACAACUGGUUCAAACUUGUUUUUCUUCUCUACAAGUAUUAUAAGCAAAGCAAUCGAUUGCAAUUUUAUUUCCAUUUCUUCUUUAUGUUUUCGUAAUCAUCACAGAAUUAGUAAACUCCCAUGACAAGCCUUGUAUAAAUCUCAAACAACUAACAACUCAGAUCAGAUUACAUAACCUCAAGCCAACUUAACAUUCAUUCACACUUAAGUCAACCGCACUCCAUUAUACUGAGAAACAGAGAAAAGAUCAUACACUAGCGAAAGCUAACACAAAAAUCUCUUGGCGAAUGCUAAGAGUAUCAAUUGAUCACUUUGUCGGGAUUCUAAGUUAAAAAUCUAUCUGACAUCAAAAUUAAGCUUCUAUUGCUACAAAUUCACAAGCAAGCACACAAUUACAUUUCAAAACUAUUACAAAAUGUCAAGUAGUCAAUACAGGGUAAGUGGGUGAGUCCUCAAUAUAUACUCAGCCACAAACUGUGCAUCCAACAGAGAAUUUAUAAACAACCCAGUUAGAAUCUCAACAAACAAAACUUAUCCCACAAGUAUAUUCAAACAAUCAAACUUCAACAAAAAAGAAACAUAAUUCAGCCAAUGGAAUCCCCAGAAAUACAAGAAACAUUCAUAGUUCAGAUAAAAGAACAGUCCAGGAGGCCCAAAAACCAAAAGAGAAAAAACAAGAAAGAAACUUGCUUACCUAAGUUGUGGAGCUAAAACAAUACCAGAAGUUCAGCAGCAAAGCAAGUCAGGAACCAACAAAACAAGAACAAGGACCAGAGAGAGAAGAGGAACACACCAAAAACCGGCUAACCCAAUAAGAGAAAUCUCUUUAAGGAGGGAACAGAAUCGAAACAGGAAUGUGGGUACAAUAAAUAUUAUGAGCAAAUGAUUGACAGGAACUUAACAAAGAAGAAAGGGAGAGAAGGGGCUUGGGUAUUGGUUAGUUAAACACAGAAAGAGAUGGGGGAAGUGGGUAUUUAUUGGUGCUGUUGCUAACUUGCUACUGUUAGCUAAAGUCUGUGAGUUUUACUGAGUCAGAGAGUAAGUAGUAGUCUGCUUUGUUUAUCACGUAGACUGUCCACGGAUCACGAGGAGACACAGCACAGCACACACCCAACAGCACCCCUUCUCUUCUCUUCUCCUCUUCUUCUUCUCUCUCUCUAGUUCAGAAUAAACAAACCAAAGUACCAUAUGUCAUAUGCUUCUCUCCUUCUCCACUCUGCGUCACUAGAAACGAAUUGUUUUCUAAUUUUCAGUUACUUUGUUUGUUUGUACAUUUGAGAAGAAAAAUGGGGAAUAUUACAACUUUGUCUCUGAAUUUUGACUCAAUUUGUUAUGAAGACCUUCUAGUUAGAUUUGUUUACAAAUUAGGACGGAUAUCAAUGUGGUUUGAUCGUGCUCUUUACAAAACUCGAUUUGCGCCUGGCAUGAUAAUUUUGCGAAUAUUUUACAACAAACAUUAACAAGACACAUUUGAUAAAAGAUUACAGAAGUUAUAAGAAUUAUCGGUGAGGACUGCCAGUUAGUUAUUUGGAAUAACUAACUUUGUGGUCAUAAGUGUAAAUCUCACAUGCAACAUGAGAUGCGGAUCUGACCCAAAAAAAAAUGGGAUGGGAUGGGAAGCUACUAUAUUCUAUUUAUAUAUUUCGCAAAUAAUGAACUUUUCAUGUGAUUCAUUAUGUUGUCAUUUACUCAUUCUUCUCACGUCAUCACAUUGUGACAAAAUUCGCUAAAAUUGACGAGUUAGAACUUUAGGCUACAAUCAGGCAAAUUUGUAGUUUUGAUAGUAACAUCAUUUAGUUAGUAACUGUCUGAAAUCGAGUAUGUCUCUCUCAUUAUAUUUGUCGAUGAAGUUCGAGGAAUGAUGAAACGUUCAUACUUUUCACAUGCUUCACCGUAAAAAUCAUGCUCCUGCAGAGAACUAGCCGACUGUCCCUCGCCAAAUAUAAGGUAGUGGCUUGGAUUUGAAACUCUAGUUUACUACAAGGACAUCAUUGACAAAUACAACAAUUGGAUGAAAAUGAAGCCAAAGUGGUUUAAAUGCAAAUCUAAAUAUUUUAGUGAUGACGAUUGUUUUGUUAUUAUAUGAAGUUUAUAAUAGAGUGUCAAGAAAGAAAAGUAAAGAGAUGAGAUGAGAUGAGGUAGAGAGAUGCAGUCGUGAAUACAGCUGUAGCCAACACCAGUAUUGGUUAGCUUCUUCUUCUUCCUUCUGUGUCUAUCUCUCUCUAUUUCUAAAUGAAUUUUCUUCGAGUUUAUAUGAGUACUACUACUACCUAGACUUAUAAAUGGACCGGAUCUGGAGCGGAUCGACCUAGAUCCGGAUCCGGAUCCGUAAUAAAAAUUUUGGAUCAAGAUUCGACCCGUUACCCGUCGGAUCUUUGAUAGCUAGAUCCAAAUCCGGAUCCAGCGGGUUAACGGAUACCUGACCCGUUAAUCCUAUCCGUUUAUAAUAAUAAAUAUUUUCAAAUUUUAAAUAAUAAUUUUUUAUUUUAUCAUAAAUUUUCAUAAAACAAUAAUGAAAUAUUAUAACAAAAUAAAGGUUUACAUUAAAAAUUGAAUUACAUGGCCAAAAUACUUCUUAACAAUAAACUAAUAUAUUCAAAAUACUAGACCCCCAAUGUAUUUAUUAGCAAAGAGCAUAAAAAAAAUAUACGCAUAAGUAAUCUUCAACUUCAUCAAAUGAUCAUACUUUAGAUGCAAUUUAGACGUUUAGGUUAUCCAAAUAAUUAUUAUAUUAUUGAAUAUUUAUCAAUAAUAUUAUAUUUAUAAAAAUAUUAUUUAAUUAUUUUAAAACGGAUCCGGGUCCUUAACGGAUCGGAUCAACCUCAAUUUGUAUCCGAUCCGUUUAAUAAACGGGUUAACGGAUCCGGGUCCUUAAUGGAUCAAUGAGUCUAAUUUUCGAUCCAACCCGUUUAAAAACCACGGAUCCGGAGCGGGUCUGGAUCAAGAUCCGAUCCAUUUACAGGUCUAGUUAUGAUCCCUCAAAAAACAAAAUGAAACAGAGAAGGGAUAUCCUAUUCCAAAGGCCAAACCCCAAACCCCAAAUACAAAUUNNNNNNNNNNNNNNNNNNNNNNNNNNNNNNNNNNNNNNNNNNNNNNNNNNNNNNNNNNNNNNNNNNNNNNNNNNNNNNNNNNNNNNNNNNNNNNNNNNNNAAAAAAACCGGGCCGAACCAGAUAUGUUCAGUUCGGUUUUCGGUUUGGGUCCAGCAAAAACCGAACCAGACCGAGAAAACCGAAGUCAAUGAUUUUGCCGGUCAACGUUUCAAAACGAGGUCGUUUUUGGGUUUUUUUUCCCGAAACCCUAUGACACCCUAAUGUAGAUGCAGCUUGCGUUUCAGUUUUGCACUCACCUCUUCUCCUUUUUAUCUCUUUGUCAUCGCCUCCUCUCCUCUCUAACUCUCAUCUCCGCAACUCCGCCAUCGGACUCCAGUACUUCGACCUCUCCUCUCCUCUCAAUUUUUUGCCGGUCAUCUCUGUAGCACCUUCUGGAAUCUCAUGGCGAUGGUGGUCGGAGUCUACAUCGCGUAGAAUUACAAUGUUUGCAGCAUCGAUGAGCUUGUCAAGACCUUCCUCCUCAUCGGGAAGCACCUCGAGGAGACCUACUGGAAUCCCGAAGAAGAGGGACAAGGACGAGGGCGAGAUCUAGAUUGCCCACCAUUCGCGUUGUUAUUUGGCACAGGUUUCAUCUUUUUGUUUUGGGAUAGAUAGAAAAUGGUAGAGCGAAUGGAUACAAUUUGGAUUGUGAAUUGACAUUGUCCAUUAGUUGGAUAGUUGGAUUCUGAUUAAUAUGGAUGUAUACCUUGAUUUUGAUUAAUAUGGAUCUAAAGCUUGCUCCUGAUUUCUCGAAUUGGAUAUUCCAAAAGAUAGGCUAGGCAUGCAAGGGUUCUGUGAUCUUUAGUGGGUUAGCUUGAUUUGAUAAUUGGGAAUACGAAGAUUGUAGAAACGAAGCAAUUAUCAAGGAAAUCAUAUGUGAGGAGGUGGGAUUUAUGGAUGGGUUCAUCUUCUUCACAUCAGAACUUCAUUGUUUUCCUGGGUUGCAGGUUUUUGUCUAUAGUUAAAACUAUGGUCAAAUUUUUUUACUACUGUUAAUAUAAAAAAAAUAAUAAAUAAUAAAUAAAAAACCGAAACCGGGCCGAACCGUGGGUUUGGUUCGGUUUUCGGUUUGGUGUGUCUGAAAAUUAAAAACCGGGCCGAACCGGACUGAAUUUUAUUUUCGGUUUGGUUUCCGGUUUAAGGUAAAAACCGAACCAUUUCAAACCGAACCCACCCCUAAGCCACAUUGCAGAAAAGUGAUUAUGUAGUCUCUCUUUUCUUCAUCAGACAUGGUAAAAAAGACUCUCAACCAAUCAUGCUCUUUAGAUAGUUUGUUAGUAAUGUGAAAUACUUGCACUGGAGUAAGGAAUUCUAUCUUCCGAAGCUCACCACAAAGUUUCCCUUGCAGAUCAGCAAGAUCCUUUUCUGUUGAGAGAACGUUAAUCAAGCCUUCAAACUUUGGAGCCAUUCCAGAAAUGGCUUCAGCGAUGGCUCUAAAUUUGUUUGCCAUAUCAUUUAAAGCUCUUGCCUUUCGACGAGUUUUAUUUGGAGCAUUUGCUACAUCUUGGGUUGACCUCGGUUGUUUAGCACGUUGGUUGGUACUUGGUGGUUGGGGAUGACUUGGUUGUGUAAAAGGCACAUAUUCAUUUUCCACUUCAUCAAGUCCUUCAUAUUCUGAUCCCACAUAUUGAGAGCCACCAUCCGUUGUCAUAUCCUCCAUUUGCUCGAAAAAAUCAUCAACUCGUACACCCGCUUGAUUUAUACUUGCAUCCUCUUCUCUAACUUCUUCUUCAUCAUCUUCAGCAUUUCUAGCAUUUGUUCCUAGUGCACGAUCUUUUCCAUAUAUCUCUCCAAGUGCAUAAUAAUGUUCAAACGGUUUGCCAUACAAACCUUUUGCCUCCUUUUUGUUCUACAAAAUAGAGAAAACACAAUAUAAUGUUAUAGACUUACAAUUCAUAACCAAAAACCUUGAGUUAAAAUCUUGAGUUAACCAUAACCAAUUCAUUUACGUAUAGAUUUCAACAUGUAGACCUACUUUGCAGUAGGAGAAAGGUACCACAGCUAAAAGAAGCAUUACAUAUGUUACAAUGCAAAGAAGACUUACAGUGAGUGCACCCAAUUUAUUUGAUAUACUAGUUUUCUGUAUCUAGUACCGUAUCACCACAGUAAAGAAACAUGAAGCAAAAUACCGCCACUUUUAAUUCCAUUCCAGGUUAGUAAACAUGCCCGAAAAGUAAAGAAAACACCAAGACAGUUACCUGUGUGGUCUCUAAAUACUCCACCUAAUCCUGUAGUGCCAUCCGAAUGGUUAAAAGAAACAUCCACAUUGAGUUUGACAAAACCUACAAGAGGGCGUUGCCAACACACAAGUGAAGCUUCCCGGGGUGGUUUCGAGGGAUAAUUGACCUUUUUAAACUCUUCCCACCAACUCAGUGUGAUAGGUACCACUUCAGUGGCUUGUUUUGCCUCAAACACUCCACAUUUUCGCAUUUCGAUUGCGCCAUAUAGCCCACAUGCACAUCAAAAGAGUAUCAAAAGUUGUAGAGGCAGGUGAGUUCACUAACCAGUCAUGAAUGGAAGAGUCUUGGUUGGCAGAAGGAACCCCUGCUAGUUUAUGGAAAGAAACUGCAUGCACACAAUCUCGGAGGGUAUGGAGAGGUGACUCUACUGCUUUCUCAAAAAAUGGACAUUGGGUAUCGACGUUAAUACCACGCUUACUAAGUCGUCUUCGUGUAGGUAGAAUAUGAGAGGUUGCUUUCCAAACACAUACUUUAACUUUCCCUGGAACUUGAGCUGUCCAAAUUCUAUUCCCAAAGGCCAAAGCUUGGAACUUGGAUUAGGACCAACUGAAUGUUCCUCCAAGACUCUAGUUCGAGUCAAGUGAUGGGCUGUAUGGACAGUGAACCUGCCUCCUUUCUCCUCUUCUCCCUAUAUCCAUCUAUCUUGAUACCCUCAAACAAGUUUAUGUUGAUAAAAUGAUGAAUCAUAAAAUGUUAUUAAAUCAUUUGUUUUUAAGAAUCCUUAAAAUUUAUGUUUUAAAAUCUAUAUGAACCCAAAAGAUUUUAUAAAUCUGCAUAAAUCAAAUAACUCUUUUUAAAUCCAUCACUUAAAAAAAGGAUGCAGCAAUCUGAAUACAAUACACACCCCUCUUAGUAUUAGGGGUUAGGGGUAGAAACUGACGACAGAGAAGAAUAUCCAAGGCUGAAAUUACAUCUAACCUAAAGAUGAGAUGAGCCUAAGGAGCAUUGAACAAUCAGUCCCGCUUCUGAUUUAACAGGACGGGUAAAAUGUUUUUAGAUUUCAAUCUCGUCUCAUCCGGUCAAAUUUCGGAUUAGGCAAAAUUUUGGAGACUGACGAGGCUCAUGUAUUUACAAUAUCAAAGAAUCGGCCCAAGUGCCCUAGAAACUAAGACCGGGACGGGAUUGAGAUUUCGGUUUUUUUACCCAGCCUUAUAGUAACUACCCAAAAUAGGCUUUUCCCCAUCAUAUUGGGGGGAUCCAAUAAGAUGCGACUUAUUGUGGAAAUCCUUCACUCCUGUCUUGCUCGUUUUCUUUUAGGGAAACUACAAUUUAAUACCUAAUAUAAUUUCAUCUUACAAAAAGGUCCUUUAAUUUGGUUCUUUAACGUUUAAGGACAAAAUUUAGCAUUUUUAGUCCUUUUUGUCUUUUGUGCCUUUUUUACUAUUAAGUUCCUACUACAGUUAAGUAAUUUUGACGGAGCAUGGUGGGCCUAUGAAUUUGUUAAACAUAAUACAAGUAUUUAAUCUAUCCUCUAAACUCAAAGGUAGACGGUUAAUUUUUCAUUUAUCAAUAGGAGAAUCUAUUGCUACUANNNNNNNNNNNNNNNNNNNNAAAUGUGGUCAGGUAGUAUUUUGUAUUUCUCCAUUUUCUUUUGUUAUGCCCCCCCUCCCCCCCCCCCCCCCCCGCCAAAAAAAACAAAAAAAAAAAAAAUCCUUCACGGACAGAUGCAAAGUGAAUUAUGAAUAUACAUCUACCAAUAAUACACCAAAAGGUCCCAGGGAUUGGCCUUGAUUUGACAGCAUUAGGCAAAAUUUUGGAGACUGACGAGGCUCAUGUAUUUACAAUAUCAAAGAAUCGGCCCAAGUGCCCUAGUAACGAUGUAUUUACAAUACCAGACAAUGAUGUUACUGUUUCCUAUCUCCCAAUGCUCACUGUUGAACUGGGAAUGAGGUAAGCAUCAGUGGUUUCCGACUGCUCCUUAUUCAUAUGCAGGAGCUGAUGACUUAGCGUCAUGGCAUGACUAUGGUGUGUGGCUGUGUGCUAUAAUUUGUUCUGGCACAACUUCGGCAACCAGGCCUUUAGCAUUAUCUGGUCUUCAACUCUCCCUAUCGCACCUGUUCACAAAUGUGGAAGUCAGUACACCUAUAAUCAUUGAUGAAAAAAACUCAGGGAAAAGUCAAAGUAAUUUUUAACUUCUACGAGUCAUAGGUAUGAAGAGAAAAGCAAUAAGGCUUCAGACCUUUAGACAUAGGAAUUUCAUAAACAUGGUCAUUUACUGCAAUCAACCAAGAAUUUUGAUAUUGUCCUGACCAGUUCAAUACUCUAAACAAAAAAUCUUACACUAAUCGAAACAAUAAGGUUUUCUAAUAUAUAAUCCUUGUAUGGUAUAAAUCUCAUUGUUUUCAUUUCUUCAACCUUUUUUUGUCUAUAAAAUAAAUGCAACAUCUAUUAUCCGAUUUCCACAAUUUUUCAAUCAUAAAUGACUGGAAGACACGAUAUAAAUGCAUUUACUGCAGAAAGGUAUUGUGGCAGUUACUAAAAAGAGAUACAAGAAGACAGAGUUCCGAGAAAAUUGUAUCAACAGCUAUAUUAAAGGGGAAAUGAAACUUCAAGCUAGUGUAAUACCUUAAUGCUAGAUAUGUCUUUACUAUAUGUGAGAUGGCAUGUAUAAUCCAAGGUCAUGUUGUAGGCCGUGUCAUUGUCGAUAAUCCACGCCCAACAGGGAAAACACCUGGAAAGCCGCCUUCUGGUUCUUCAACUUCUAUAGAAGCAUAACAAUCACAUUAUAGGUUGAUCAGAUAAGAAAAGCAAGUACAACACACUAAAUGAUGAGGCAGAAGCACAUAUAACUAAAGAUAUUCCAACUUAAGCAGCCUGAAAUUCCAGAAACACAAAAAAGAGGCAAUGUUUUUAUGAGGUCUCAUGGCCACUCCAACUAGUUCAAGUCAAUAUAUAUGCAACACCUAAUCCACUGUAUUUAUAAGUUUCACCAUGUACACAGUGAAAAAAUUUCAAUGCGGCAGAAAAUGUCCUCACCAGUUAUUUCAUCACCAGCUUGAGCCCCAGCAAUUCCAACACAAGAAUACAAAGAAUCGUCAUCUAUUCUCAAUUGAUCAUAUGCAAGGUAUACGUCCUCAAUAGCAGCAAUUUCAUACAAAGUAGUAAGAUCUUUGAUGCAAGAAAUAUCCUGAACCAAAUAGCACACAAUGAGUAUCCCAAUCUACAUUUACAAUGGUUUGCAGAGUAAAAGUUAUCAGCAGUGAUGAAGAUUUUUUUUACAGAGGACAAACAAAAUCUUUCCAAAAUUACUUUCCAUGAGUCAGUGGACGAGAUGCUUAAGAAAUUUCCAGUUUACCUUCCUUGGGACAGAAGAAGCUUGCAAGUGAGCUAAAAGUCCAAGCCAGUAGCCAUUUGACUUAAUCUCAGCUUCAUGUCUCAUCAGAAGCGUCCGUUUUGCCUACAAUUUCAAUAUUAACAUGUCAAUUAGAGAAGUGGUCAUGAGAAUUCCAUUUAUUUAAGAAAAAACGAAAUUCUGUUUUGAAAGGAAAAAGCAAAAGAGAAGAAAUUAACCCUGUCCAACUCCCUUUGGGAAAUCUUGUUGCUAUGCAAACCUCUAAGGACAUUCUUGCAGGCAUCAACAGCUUUGUGAACCUGAUGUUACAGCUAACCUGUGAGGAGACUGGAAAUAACCGGACACACUAUGGCACUAUAUGAAUCUAAAUUACGCACCUUGCCAGGAGUUGAUGUUACAGAUAUGACAUACCAUCCGAGAUUCAGCCUAUCAAAAAGGUUUAACUCGAAUGACACAUCAUAUGUCAAGCCAAGUGAAUCUCUGACCGUAGUAAAAAGUCUACAAAGAGCAUAGAAUAUUACAUUAAAAAUUGAGAUAACAAGAGAUCGGUGGCUCAAAUGCAAAAAGUAUGUUCGUUUAUGAAGUUAUACCGUCUUGACGUGGGACUUAUCAUAAUGCUCUCAAAUCAUAGUAUUCACUUAGAGUGUCAUUAGAAAAACACAAGCUCUACAAAUCCAUUCCCCAAACCCAAUUUCAUUUAACAGACCUCCCUAUCCGUUUCAACCUAAAAGGGCUUUCCAGUCUAACUAAAUGGAAGACAAAUAUAACCUAAGACAUUAGAAACGGAGGCUUGAAGAGAUGACCAAAAAUCAUUCUAUCCCAGUAUCAAACAAAUUCCAGUCUAACUAAAUGGAAGACAAAUAGAACGUACGACAUUAGAAACGGAGGCUUGAAGAGAUGACCAAAAAUCAUUCUAUCCCGGUAUCAAACAAAGCCUCCAACAUGCACAUUUAGAUAAUGUUGGCUGCUACAAAAUGGCUGUAAAUAAACCUCCCACUGAAAAACUUACAUAUUUUGGGCACACAUUACAGAGCAGGCAGAUAAUGAAUAAGGAAGACAUGCAGAUCAUUCUCUUUUUCUCAUGGAAAGUAUUACCUGGAAUUUAUAAUCUCAGCCAGGAGCCCCAUUGUGAUGCCAAAGAAAAGCGGGUGACCACGAAGUGUUCUUUGCAUAUCUUUCUGAGUAUCCUUACCCUCCGCAACUAGCUCUUCAGAUUUCAGCUGUGCAUCUGCAUAACCAGUGUCAACACAAAAAAGUUUGAUAUCAAAUUCCAGAUUCGAUGCAACUCACCAUCACAAGAAGAAAUGUCGGUGAUAGAGAACAGGUCUUUACCGUCAACAGUAAAACCCCAACGAUUUGGUGCCGGACCUGCAAUAUAUGCACAUGCUCUCUCAUCUGUGUCUUUCAAGAACACCUGUUUGAAAGGAAAUAAACUAUAAGCAUGUGUCAAACCAUUAUAGAAAUUCAACCAUCAAAUAAAUUUAUUACUACUCACUUGCUGAGACUGCAGAUCAGAAGAUGCUCGAAAAACAACCGGAUUAUACUUCUGCUCAACCUCAGAAUGUUUUGCUGAUUGAACUGUUCCCAAGUAAUCAAGAAUACACGACUCAAUUUCCUCCUCAGAGAAGUCCCCAACUAUACUUACCUAAACACAUGUAUACAGCUUAUAAUGAGGGAUGUUUAUACUUCUUAUAAAAAGAACAAAAAAAUUCAACAUGUGGGAUAUGCACACCUCCAUGUUAUUCCCAACAAACUGGUUCAUCACUGCAUCCUUUACAGACUGCAAAGUUAAAUUUUGCAAUGACGUUGGUGUAGGUUCUACAAAACGCUCAUCUCCGUCCAACAUUGCUAGCAUGAGUUUGUGAGCAGUUGAGCGCUCCAAGCUUUUAGGGAUGGAGCGAUAAUAUGACAAAUAUAAUUGCCUUGCUCUAUCAAAUGCAUCAUCCAGCCAGACGCUAUGCUGCAAAUCAGAAAACAUUACUGUCAAUCAUCUUUCUUCAUACAAUCUAAUGCACCUCUGAAAUGGAGAUGCCCUGUUCAAGACAUGGAGAAAACAUGCAGACAACGCGGACAAGAAAUGUCCCCAACAUUCAAAAUUCAGCAGAAAGAUUAUGAGUCACGAUGGGAUUACCUCAAGUACCAUGUGAAGCAAUUGGAAAGCGGCACGCAUCCCAUUAUCUCUUAAAGUGAAGCGGAAUUCCAUAGAAAUAAAUUCCUCUGUGGACUCCAAUGAGCAAUUAAUCAAGUGGUUCACACAGAAAAGUUCUACCUGAGAAGAAUGAUGCAUAUACAUGAGACGAUCUCAGCAAAAAUGAGGUAAGCUCCGAUACAAUUAUCAAAAACUGAUUAUACAAUACCAUAAUGAUCCGAGUAUAUUUCUCAUAUUACCAUGCCAUGUAAACAUUUUGCAACUACUGUAAUGUAAGUUGGCCUUAAUGAAUAUCAUAAGCAUACGUCCCGUGAAAUACUAUAAUACAGAAUUUUUUCUUCCCCCAAGGUAGUUCCUUUUUUUUCCUAUAAGAAACACAAGUUCAUUUAUCAAAAGAAAGAAGUUCAUCAACAUAAAACACAACAACAAGACACUAAAGCCUAAACCCAGAGCAAAGAAAACUCCUUGGCCCAAAACAGUAAGACCAACUGAGGCAGUAUGGAAAACAUUGUAAAACAGCUCACAAUAAAUACGCCAGCACUUAGCUAUUUAGCAAUUACAGUGAGAUGUGAAAUAUAUUUCACAUAAUGACACUUUGUGAUACCUAAUUCAUUUAACAAGAACCAAUCUCAAGACACAAUAUAAUGCAUUCAGAGGAAAGAAUCUCCUCCUACAUUAAACAGUAUUGGACAAAUUCAUUCACAAAUCAAAUACAAGUACAGUGAAACCUCAAUAAAAGAAUAAUGUUGGCACUACAGAAAAUUAUUACUUUAAAGAGGUUAUUAUAUUAUCGAUAAAUGAAUAAAUGAUAAAUGCAUAUUUAUUACUUAUUUAUAGAGGGUUUUGUUGUUAAAAUUUUCCCAAAUUUGCUAAGAGUAUAUUUAAUUUUUCAUAAUACAAGGAAAAAGCAAAGGACUAUAUUUGAAUACUUAAGAAAAACUAAACUGAGAAAUUAAAAUUGUUAAGAGUUUCUUUAAUUUGUAUUAUGAGCAUUAAUUACUCUUUAUUUUAUGUAUUUUAUGAAUUAUUCAUAUUUUUGUUAUAUUUUAAAAUAUUUAUUUACACAAAUUACUUUAUAUAUUCGUUCGAACCUAAAGGGAGUCUAAAAAAUUAUUAUCUUAUGUAUUUAGCGAGGUUCCUAGUAAUAUACACCGAGUCGGGACCGGAGAAAUUUAUUAUUUAAUCGAGGUUACUAAUUUAUCCAACAUUUAUUUAUUGAGGUUUAACUGUAAACUGCAUACCUGCUCCCUUGAAAAGUUGCCAACACGACCUCCCUCACUAAGAGUUCGUACACCCACAACAACAGAACCUUUUGAUUCAGAACUUUCAGUAGCCCGUCCACCACCAACUAUAAGCCUCAUCACACCUCCCCGAGCCUCACUUUUUGAAAUCUGUGAUUGAAGCAUAAAACAAAGACAUGAAUUUAGUGUAACUACAGUAACCAUUUUCAUGUGUAUAUUUUUAUCAAUAACAGUGAAAGUAAUUUAGCACAAUCUGAAGUUUCAAAAUGACGCUCAAUCUCAGACACACAAUGCUUAUAUAGCUCAUAAUAAUGUAUAACGUGACAUGAUCAAGUUGUAUCAUCCUUCAUAUUUCAAUCUUCUUACACAGUCAUGAGCACUGAAUUUUAUUUAAUAGAAGAGAAACCAAAAACAAGUACAUGUCCGAGACUGACUAAAACAUAAGCAAGAGAUACCUUGUAGUUUACAGAAAUUCCAUUUGAAAGACGAGCUCUAGUGAUCCCUGUUUCUUUGUCAUAAAUUUUUGUCAUACUUGUUUCAGGGCUACAGGUGAUAAAGGAUGGCAUGCGCUCCUGCCUCAAUUCCUGUAACUGCGAUGAAGAUAUCAAUUCUUUUGGAACCUCAAGCUGCACAAACAAACAGAUAACCAGUAAACAACGAAGUCAGGAAGAACUUUCCAGAGAUAUAUAAACAUGAAGUUAAGGGAUGAAAGCAGGCCAGUAAGGAAGGACACCUCUGGCUCAGGCUCGAUGGGGUCCUCCAAUCCAGCUCUCGUAGCAGCUGUAAUCUCAUCAGGGGAAAUGGUGAACUCAGUUUCACCCUUUCCAUCAACAUGCACUUUCUUUGGAACACAAGCAACAAUCGCUGCAGGAAGGGGUGCAGUAGGCUUUCCAAAAUCAGAAACAAAUUCCAACACCUUGGCACCGAUUGAGUUAACCUACAUGAUUAGAUAAAAAAAUUAAUAAUAAUUACUGAUACUUAAAUAAUUUAAGUUUAAAGGAUCAAACAACAUUUUGGGUCUUCAAUUUCCAGCAUUUCUUCAAAAAUAUCAACUUAAUGAUAUUUCCUAUUUUGAUGAGAAAAAACAAUGAAGCCAAAUUUAAGGAUCGAAGAGCCUCAGACCCUCAAUUUAAAAGAGAUCACCCACCAUAUGUGCUCUGUAAAAUUAAAAUACUACCAUCCUACAUGUUCUUAUAUGUGGCAUUUUAUGGUUUAACUAUACUUUACAUUUACUAUACCAAGUGACGCUACCAAGUGAUUAAUGAUUAAACAUUACCUCUUCAAGAGUGACGGUUCCAGCGACAGCAACCAGACUAUCAUGUCCUUGUCUCUGAUCCAUUACUGUAUGACCCAGUGCAUCACUCUCCAUGAUGAAAUCCAAAUUAUCAACAGAAGAUACAUUAUCUAUCAUCGCCGCCAGAUGCUCACUAUCUUUUAAUAAAGCAUCUAUGUAACGAGUCAAUUCACCCUUAGUAACACCAAACUCUUUGAGCCUUCUAACCUGCACAAGAUAAGAACUUUGCCGUUAUGUUUUAGUAAUCAGUUAACAAGAUAAUCCACAAAAAACAUAUUAGCAUAGGUAACAACAUAUAUACUGAAAAAAAUGGAUAAACUGAAGUUCACAAAACACGAGUGAACUGCAAACUUUGUUUUUCCCAAGCAUGAAUGGAUAAAUGCCAAAAGCUUGAAGCUGCAAUUUCAACAGAACUAACUAAACAGUCAAGGUAUGUUUUCUCCAUGAAAGAAGGGAAAAGUUAAUAAACAAAAAUAAAAAGAAAGAAGAAGGCUUAUAGUUUCUAGACCAAGACAUCAAAGUCAAUCAUUAUGCUCAAUUUAUUAAAAAAAAAAAAAAAAAAAAAAAAAAGGUAAAGGAAUCAAACAUGUUAUUGAUCCAUUGCUUUGAAAAAAUUAAGAAUAAGAGGUGAACAGUUAUACUUCCAAGGUCAACUUUCUUUUCUUUUGGUUUUUCAGAAAACAUAAAGGUUGACAUUGUAAAUGUUGCAACUGUUGUCAAGGGUCCCAUCUAAACAGCAGUACAUAUCUUAUCAGAAUUGAUAGCAUGCGGAAUACACUCAUCCCAUAAACAAGUUAUCCAAAUUCAGUAGUGCAAGACAGAAAUGUCAACCUCGUGAACAGCAACUCUUAUUGCAGUUUGCCAAUUCUUCGGUUCAGCAGUUACAGUAAGAGUAGUGACUGUACAUCCUUCCCUUCCAGAGUCACUAUGAUCUAAUUCAAUUGAAGUAAAUGGUGGAUUUGAACUCUGCAUAAUUUUAAAAUGAACCAACUCAGAAACGACUGCAUGGUACAUCCAGAAGAUACUCGAAUAUUUCCAUAAUAGGAGAUCGGCUAGAAACUGGAAAUAAUUUGGUGACUAAAACUAAAAUUGACCUUGUAUCUUGUAUUGAUUCGGAAAUGUAAAGCAGAAAGAAAAAUUCUCUUCAUUAGAACAUUUCGCAAGUCACCAUAAGUUCGAACUUUGUUCACAGGAAUCUGCAAUUGUUCCACAAGACAUGCUUAGAAGAUAGAGAGACUGGGAUACCGUUAAGAAUAUUAGUAAAAAUCAAUAACCAUAUCAACUAACAAUUUUCCGACCGCGAUUGCUCAUAAUUUGAACAGAUACACAACUUAGUACAUAGUUAGAAGAAACUCUACAGUUGUGUACCUUGCAGAACAUAUUAAAUGAGAAAUUCUGAAUCAAUUCAUGCUGAAAAAUCUGCGGAGGCUUCAAAUCCAUACUACUUCCAGGCAGUGACCAAUUAUGCUUCACAGGAGGACGGACAGUGUGCUUUUCCUUUUUAAGGAGUUUUGUUUGGUCAUUGGAAUUAGAUAUUUCAGUAGACAAAUUUCCGGUCAGGCCAACUGAAAGCUUAGGGACAAGGAAACUAGCCAUUGCACCAAAUGCACUAGGAGUAGGUGCUGACCCAUUUUCUUGGCCAGUUUGUCCAAAGACAGCCUGCGGUGAAGUUAGUUUGUCCAUGAAUCUAGAAGCGAAUGAAUAAAUACAACUAUACAUGAUAAAGGAUGAAUUCUUGCAUACCUCAAUUUGGUAAACUGUUUUUGAGAUGUUUUCAAUAUCCCCAACAAUGUAUAAGGUUGCAUUUGCAGGGAAGUACCAACGCUCAUGAAAUUUCCGCACUUUAUCUACAUCCCACUUCUUAAUUUGCUCCUCUAAUCCAAUCGGGAACCUUUUGCUUAGUUUGUUUUCAGAGUGUAGAUGUUGUAAUAACUGUGCUCCAGAUGAAACCGUGCAGAAGUUCAGACAAUGCUUAGUAAUACAAAUUCAAUAACAAGAUAAAAUAAAAUUAACCUCCCUAGUCCGAACCUGGCAGUCAACACGAUAAUCUAUCGUAUUCAUCAUCUGUAAUUCUGAAAGUAUAGCCCGUCUUUCCUUCUCAACACGAGAAGAAAGGAAUUUCGGGUGAAAAGCGAUCUGUAGCAUGAAUGAAGCAGAAGCAAAUGAGACCUUACAACUACAGACCUCCUAUAGUCAAUACUUUUUUUUAUUAUUUGUAAAACAGAUUAAUUGAAUAGUAUGUAUGGUACAAAUAAAUAGAGUGAAAUUAAGGAAUACAAACAAGCCCAUACUAAGCAUGUAGUGCAUGCUCAUAAAGGACAAUUGAUUCCUAAAUACCUCAUUCAACGCAUCCAGCACAUUUGGAAGGAGAUCUUCAUCAGAAUCCUGGAAAGCAACAGAUUGUUGUCAAUAUAUUUACAAGGGACACUAGGUUGUGAUCAUCUUAAUUGCUUUUCUGUUACUUUUUGUUAUAUACAUAUAUAUAUAUAUAUAUAUAUAUAUUCUGAAAACAAAAAAUAAAAAUAAAAAUUAAAAAAAAUUAAAAACUUAUUGCAAGAGCUAGCCAGAAACAAGAAACAAAAGCCGUGGACAAGAAGUUCUAAGCGAGCUACAGGAAACUAAAAAUAAAGAAAAGAAAGCUACAGCAGGAGUUAAAAAUUAAGGAAGUAUAGUGUUUAAUUUAAGCAGAAGCCCACAAGGCAGACAUGAAUCUGACUUCGACCUCCACUCCAUUAUAGUAAUCAAGGAUCCUUCAAUACCUUUUCUGCUCAAAUAACACCCAUAGCAGUGCAACCCUAAAGAGCUUUAGCCCUUUUCCUAUUGCCAUGAAAAUUGACUUGAGAGAGGAAAAGAAAACAACCUGUUACCAACACCCAGCUAACCCAAGCCUUCCUAUACAAUUUCAGCUCCUACCUCCUCACUCCAUCUAUAACUUUCACCAAUCAUCUUUGUUGCUUUUACAAUUUCUUCUUUCCUAUCAAAAUGUACAUGACUCUUUGUAUUAUUUAUCUCUCUUUUGUUCAAGGACAUAAUGUUUUGAGUCUUUUGCCUAGAGAUAUUUAUAAACUCAUAUUGAUAAAUUAAGAAUUACGUUUGACAUCACAACCAGAAUUACUGAAUACUGCAUCUAUUGACUUAGAUAAAAAUCACAAAAUACGAAAAUUAAAAGAAAAGAUAAAAAAAUCAUUUGCUGACUGGAAGCAUAAUGUAAAGGGGAAACCUUUGAACUUAUUGGCGAAUGAAUAUGAAACACUGUAUGAUGGAAAUCGGUGUAAGCAUUGGAUCGAGCCCCUGUCCCAAGAAGUUUCUCUCGUUUCUUACUUCCAAGGAAAGCAACAUGUUCAAUCAUAUGUGCAAUCCCUUGCUCAUCCUCUUCCUCGUUGAUUGAUCCUACAUGCACUUCCAUGUGUGCUUCAAACCUAAAACUCCAACAAACGUGUUCUAUGUAAGAGAAAAUGCAUGAAGUAAAAAAAAAAAAGGCAAAAAAAGAAGAACGUAAGACUAUCUUUCAACAUAACCAGAGAAGUAGCCAAUAAGAUGUGCUCAUGUAGAGAGGCCGAACCUGGUUGGCGGAACCUUAUUUGGUAAAAUCAGAUAGCGCAGCCCAUUUUUUAGUUGUCCUCGAUACAACUUUGGAUGAGAUGGAAGUUCAGAACUUAGAAAUGCAUCUACCUCUGUUUGUUCUACUCCAGGAUAUACUAAAUCUGGCUCCUGUUUCUCAAGAAUACCAUCCGGCCAGGAUGUACUUGCUGCAUGUGGCUCAUCUGGACCUACAGUUGCAUAUGGAAUAUGAAGAUCCUUCACCUAAAAAUAUAUGGAUCAGUAUAAGUCAGGAUAUGUCUUGAAGCAUGACUAGUAGUACUGUAAAUGUUUCUGAAUAAAACCUUUAAAAAUAAUCAAUAAAUGUACAGUAAUAUUAACAAUGGCAGACACAUAGGGCAUUUAGUAUUCCCCAUUAUAGCAAAAGAGUCUAAAGAAGCCAUCUCCAAUCAACUUACCACAUCUGUGUGAAAGAAGAAAACUGAAGGAAAAAACACACACCGAAAGAAUAUACUGUAGGUGAAGCAGUAGGCUAAAUUUUAAAUAAUUGCAACAAUUGGGUGGUGAUGAGCAUUUCUACGGCCCAGAAGGAGUAAAGAUAAAGCCAAUCAGUGCCAAAUAGUAAAAAAGAAAAGAAAAAAAGAAACUGGAAAUGAAAUUCCAAUAGAAGUAAAUUUGGGUUGCCACUUACAAAAGCUUUCUCUGGUUUACGGUUGGUUAAACAGAAAGAAGUUGUAUCAGGAAAGGCACUUGGCGUGGACGUCCUGAGGCGAUGACGACCUCUACUUUGCCAUGAAGAACUUCUACUUUGGCAAAAGGAGCUAGAAAUGCUGUUAUACUUUGGUUGAAAAGGUGCUCCUCCGAUUAAAGGCUCCCCAAAUAUGGAGAUACACUGUUCCCAACUAUUACUCUUCGUUCUAGGUAAACUUGAUCUACCCGGACCAACUUCAAGCAGGCGUCUUCCAGAAACAAAUGAAAUCUCUCAGUCAUAUCCAAUGCUACUAAGUACUAGUAUACUAAACCGAUGAAUGAAUUACAUAAAAAGCAGUGGUGGCUUAAAAAUGAAAUGUAUUCAAAUAGAGACCGAAUAAAUCCAUCAGGCAGGAAUCAGUUUCUUGUGCAAUUUAGGGACCAAACAACACAAAACCAAAGGGCAGCACAUGAUUCCAAUGAUACAGAGAAGAAAUUGAUUGAUUUCAAUGAGCUGGUGGCCAUAACUUUUUUUGGGUUAAUUAUAUUAAUUUGGUUCAUGGUUUUUCCCAGAAAACAGUGUUUCUUUUGUUCGAUUCUCAUAGCAAGCAAGGGUGAAAGAAUACCUGGAGUGAGAAGAAAAGAGAGGAAAACGAGGGCCACGAAUAGAGACCACAGAAUUACUCUUGGCCCGCCUCCUUUUGGAAUAAGCAUCAUCUCUUCUUGUGCAUAUUUGGGGAACACUUGCCAGCAGAGAGCUUGUCGCCGCCGCCAUUCCACCAGAGAGCAACAACUAAACUAAACGCAGCGAGACUGUUUAGAGCCGGGUGGGUAAUUUAUCAUCGAAUUGAACCAUAAAUUCGAAAUAGAUACUACGCUUUCUUUGGCAAUGAUGCCAGAGGCUUUGUUUGGCUCCGCUCCGCUCUAGAUAUGGUUACUCUAACCACCUCUUUUGGCUUGGACAAGUUUUGCUCAUAUCUGCUGGGCCACGUCAUCUAAAACCAAUCCAAGGGCUCCUGAUUUUAAUUUUUAUUUAUUUUUUUAACAGGCAAGGGCUCUUGAAUUACUCGAAGGAGUUAUAUAUCAUUGAGGUCUCGCCAUUCGACCCACGCUGGCUUCUCGGAAUCCGCUCAACAUGGUCAGUCAUCUCAAUUUUAGGGUUUGAUUAUCUCGUUUCGCAUACGCUCAUGCUCUCUUGUUCUCUCCUCAGGAAGUGUUCCGAAGUGCGAUACUGCAACCAGGCCCGCCUGAAACCUUUGCGUUACAGACGGUUCAGCAAGUUAUAAAGCCUCAGGUACCCACCUCUCAUCGAAUUGAAUGUUUUAUGUGUUGCGGAUUCGAUUGACUUGUGUAUUACAGAAAGGGACGAAGCUGGUGCAAGAUGAGAAUCAACUGUUGGAAAAUAUCCUCCGGACAUUGCUGCAGGAACUGGUGGUAUGUACUGCUUAAAUCACUUGAUUACUUAUGAAUAGGACGAAGCCAUUGUGUUUCUUACUUUUAUGUAUCACACUUUCUAUGAGAUCAAAUAUUUUAGCAUCCACAGUUGUUUUUUUCUUUCUCUUUUUAAAUUAUUAUGGUGUGUAACCUGAGAUUGGUACAGUCCUCUGCAGUGCAGUCCGGGGAGCAGAUAAUGCAGUAUGGCCAAUCAAUUGAUGAUGGAGAAGCUACAAGAGGACAUAUUCCACGUCUUCUAGGUCUGUCUGUACACACUUCUUUCAUUUCGAUUAAAAUCCAUAAUGACUUUUGAUUUGCAGUUCUAGGACCAUACAUCACAAUGUAGAACAAAAAGUUUAGAUCACCUAUUUGGAUUACAAAAUUCAAAAAGGCUUGUUUUACAGUUAUGUAGAGUCUUAAGGGGUGUUAUACUAAUUUUAGGGAACUUGAUUGUAUUGAAAAGAUUGGGUGGCCUACAACAAAACCAAACAAAGGACUUGGUCUGAUGUAUCUUGGUUUGUUUAAUGGUAGGUUGACCUUUUUGUUUUCAGCUGGAGCAAUUCAGUGCCUUGAUGAGUCCUAAAUACUUUAUGCUGAAUAUGAGUGAACUAUGUAGGCAAUGCAUAGGCUGAAGAAGAUUAAUGUUUUGAGAGCCUUCCUCUCUCUCUCUCNNNNNNNNNNNNNNNNNNNNUUACGUUACUUCUCUCUCUCUCUCUCUCUCUCUCUCUCUCUCUCUCUCUCUCUCUCUCUCUCUCUCUCUCUCUCUCUCUCUCCACAUAUAUAUAUAUACAUCACUUCAUAUUGUUUAUCAUUGUGUUACCAGAUGUUGUGUUGUAUCUUUGUGAGAACGAGCACGUGGAAGGUGGCAUGAUAUUUCAGCUAUUGGAAGACUUGACAGAGAUGUCUACUAUGAGAAACUGCAAAGACGUUUUCGGUUAUAUAGAGAGUAAGCAAGAUAUAUUAGGAAAGGUUUGUGCUUUAAUACUUGUCGUAAGAGUCUUUUUCCCAGUUUUUCUUAUCCUUUAAUUAUAUGGAUUCACUUUUUGUUUCUAAGACUGCUUUUAAAUUUGAUGGAUUUACUAUAUGCAGCAAGAGCUUUUUGCGAGAGGAAAACUUGUCAUGUUGAGAACAUGCAAUCAACUCCUUCGUCGUCUAUCAAAGGUUGCUACUAAUCAUACUAGUGAAAAUUGGUUGUUAUCGUCAUUACAUUUUUCUCUAUUGUGCGAUUUAUCCAUUAUAUCAUAAAUACCAGAAAUUGUUCAUGCAUGCUAUUUACUAAGUCACUUUAAAAGCUCAUUUUGUAAUGUUUAUAAAAUUCUUGACUAACUAGUACUCAGGCAUAUCUGUACUGUUUCCAUUAAGAGAUUUUGUAUCUCUUCAAAAGAAAAGAAAAGAAAAGAAACCAAUUUCCAACAAAAAAUGAUAAUUUUUUUAAGAAAAUGAAGCAGUUCAAUCAGUGGAAAAGGAGUCCACCACACUUAAAUAUCAGAACCUAUAUACAUUAUUCAAUCUGCUUGUAAUGCAAAAGCAGCUUUGAAUAUCUGUAGGAUCAGAAAAAUACAAAUCCAUAAACCUCCAGAAACUGGAAACGAGAGGCAUCCAAAUGUGACUUCCUUGUAGAAGUUUGUGGAUGAUGCAUUCUCUUACGUAGUGUGGUAGGAAGGUUCUUUAGUUUUGUCUUUCCCACAUUGCUUCUUAGUAGACAGUCACUAACUCCAAAGAAGAAAAUCCUAUGGCUUUUUCCACAUUGAUGUAUAUUAUGCACAAAUUGGGAGGGUGGUGAUAAUAUAUUUUUGCUUUUAAUGCAAAUAUGGGUUUGCUGUUGCAUUUGUUUGGAGUACUGUGGGUUUGGCUUCCAAAUUUGCUGGUGCAAAGGUAUAGGGACCUAUAGGAAAGGCCGUUACUCUUUUGACCUUGUGCUGUAUCCACUUCUUAGUGGAUUAUUUGGUUUGGAGAAAAGUCGGAGGAUAUAGAUUUACCUCACUCAGUGAGGACCUUUAAAAUAAGGUCUCCAUGAGGACUUAAAAUCAACAGUUGGAUGACGUGUAUGCUAAAGAAAUAAUAUUUAAACUAAAUUUGGACUACUCAUCCAACCGUAAAUAUGCAAGCCCUCUUGGAGUCCUCACUCUAAUGUCCUUACCAGAGACUCCCUAUAUAGUUUAUAUUUUGUGUGGUUUUCUGCUGGCAAUCUGGCAUCUGUGUGAAGCAUCUUAAAGAUAUCCAAUAUUGAUGAUUGUAUUGACUGUUAUGUAUUUCUUGUCCAUAUUGAUAGUUAAAACUUACAAUGGUAGCUUUCAUAUAUACUAAUUAUUGGAACUUCACUUGAAGGCAAAUGAUGUGGUUUUUUGCGGACGAAUUCUAAUGUUUCUAGCACACUUUUUCCCGUUGUCUGAGCGAUCAGGUACUUGAUUGUCAUCAACCCUUUUCCUCACUUUUAUUAACAAUUCUCAACCCUGAUCUUCUCUUGUACUUAAUUUCUUUUGUUGGAUGGCUAAUGCUUGCAGCUGUGAAUAUCAAAGGAGUCUUUAACACAUCGAAUGAAACAAAAUAUGAGAAAGAUGCCCCUGAUGGUAUGUCUUUACUGAACAAUUGCUUAUGUUCAUUUCAAUGUCAGUAUAUAUGGUAAAUUUUGCACUCCAAUGUUGGUCUCUUUAGCAUAUACUGAAAUCUACUAAACAAUUUUCAGGAAUUUCCAUCGAUUUCAACUUUUACAAGACCUUCUGGAGCUUACAGGUAAGUUCAUAGCUUUCUUUGUGACAAUCUGAUGUAUAAAUUAAAUGAUUUUGUUCUUCUCCUAACCAUAUUCUUGUCAUGUUUUUACAAAAUUAAACUACCAAACAUAAAUCAAAAUAAGUGGAGGUACUCAUUUAUGACAGUAAGAAAAGAACUUCAUCAAAAAAUCUUGCUACCGGUGUUAAUAUCGAGCCACAUUCAAAUGUCAUAUGUCAUUUUCGAUUGAUGAUGUUUGCAAUUUUUCGUAUUACUUGAAAUGAGACGGAAAUCUUUUAGUAGUGGACUCCCAAUAACUGAAAGUUUAUUGAAUUUGUACCAAGAUUCAUUGAAAUGUAGCUAGCAGGAGUAACAGAAAGGUCUUACUAUUUGUAUUUCACCGUUUGGAUGUCAUCUUUGGGCUAAUAUUCUAGAUAAAGAUCCAAUCUAUAUAAAUGUCUUGCAGCUGCAUUUGAGGCUGUAGCAUUAACUAUAUCACUGCUCUGUAUUAAGCUACCGCCAUGUAAUAUGAUUGCUCUUUGGAAUUCUUCCAGAAGUUUAAGGUCUCAGUGUGGAGUUUUUUCAGCUGGCAUUAGAUAGAAUGCUUGAAGGUUCUCAAUUAAUUUGCUGAGAGACUUGUCUGUUUGGAUUUUCAGGAAUACUUUUGUAACCCUGCUCCCUUAACUGUUGCUCCUACCAAGUGGCAGAAAUUUACAUCCAGUUUAAAGGUAUAGCGGAUAUCGAGAAAAAAAAAGGAACCAAAUUUUUUUAUUGUAUAACAGUUUGUCUUCCUUUUAUAAAAUAGUUUUUUCUAUUAAUUUAUUUCUGUGUUACAUUUUUCAUAUUAGAUACGUUCUCUGAAAUUUUCUAUUUAGGUUGUCUUAAAUACCUUUGAAGCUCAACCAUUAAGUGAUGAAGAGGGAGAAGCCAAUAAUUUGGAGGAGUCAGCAAAUUUCAGCAUAAAGUAUCUUACAAGCAGUAAGCUGAUGGGUCUGGAGGUUGGUAAUGGUGAUUGUAGUUGAUGUUUUUGAAGGAUACUAUUGUCCAUAUCCAUUUGCACAUACCCGUCUGAACUCUCCAUUAUUUGCAUACCUACUGUUGUGGUUUCUUAUCAGAACCAUAAUGUUCUAAAUUCUCCCUUUGAAGAUUUAUCUGUACAAAAAUAAAAUAAAUAAUAACCAAAUCAGAUUCAGAGAUCAUAUACUCAUCUGAUUUGUAUAAGAGAGACAAAUCGAUCGUUUUGAUAAAAGCCGACAGUUAUGAUAAGCAUGGAACAAAUGGAUGGUACAGCUAAGGAUUAACAUGCUCAUGACGAACUAUCAAUCUGUUUGAUGUCUUUUGAUGACUAAAUAAUAUCUGAUUUAGGAUAUUUAGGAAUUAGUAUGUGUAUGGUUCUGAUUAUGAUAUUAGACAAGGUAAUGGAAAUAUUGGCCGAGUCUGUUCUAUGUUUUUUUUCGGCAGUGUGACAUCAUAAUGAAUAAAUUUUUUUUUCCUGUUUUUAUUUUGUUUUUGAUGGGUUUAGUUAAAGGAUCCGAGUUUCCGACGACACAUACUCGUGCAGUGCCUCAUAUUGUUUGAUUAUCUGAAGGUAAUUUAUCAAAGGGAUAAUACCCCAGUUCCCCCUUUCGAGCAGUUCUCAUGUCCUUUCUCAACCUUCAAUCUGACUGCAAGUUGAGAGAUAUUCUGACCUCUUAUUUGGUUGUAGGCCCCAGGAAAAAGUGAAAAAGAUUUGCCUUCUGAAAGCAUGGUUAGUGCUUUAAUUAUGUAUUGUUAAGUUUAUGAAUUACGGUCCUUCCUUCACUUUUCAACUUUCAUAAAAGGAAAAAGACUUUCAAUAACUGAUGCUACAUUUAGAAAUAAAAGUAGGUUUAUGGGUUUGUCUAUAAAAAACUUCAGCAGAUUGAGUAUUCAAAUUAUUAAUUGUAAGAAAAUUGCUUUCAGAUGGGGAAUAUUGAUAUAUCCUUAUGUGUCAUGUAUUAUUUACCUCCAAAUUUUAGGAAUCGGGAGGAAAGAGCAAUUCAUGUACCACAAGUUUUCCCCGAUUGUUUCUUUAUAAAUAUUUAUUGGGGUGCUAUGUAUUGUCUUCAUCAAUAAAAAUGUACCAUGUACCAAUAUUAAAUCAUAGAAUUCAUAAUAACCCAGGAGCUAUGUAUUGUCUUCAUCAAUAAAAAUGUAUUUUCUUUUCUUUGAAUUGAGCCUUUGAAUCCGGUUAAGAUGGGGAGGUAUUGGCAAUGAUGCCUAUUUCAUCACUUAAGUGUUGUGUUGGGUAGCAUGUGAUGUAUCUGUGUGAUCGAAUGGUCCUCUUCUGCUUGUAUCAUUGUUAGCUAUUUAAAUAUGUAGGUAGAGUAUAGUUUUUGCUUAAAGACAUGACUGAUCUCAUUAAGUUAACACUGUUUCGGUGCUGUUUCACAUUUCAAUUUUAUGAUUUUUUUAUUUGUAAUUAUUUUGUUAAGUCCUAAGAGGCUUUAAUUAUAUUUGAAUAAAUACAGUGGUGACUAGAUAUUGAUAUUUGUAUGUACUAAAGUAAAAAGAUGGCUAAACAACGGUUCCUUUCAAUUUCAGAAAGAAGAAAUAAAUUCUUAUGAGGAGCAUGUGAAGAAACUGCUUGAGAUGACUCCACCAAAGGGGGAAAGUUUUCUUCAUAAAAUUGAACAUAUAUUAGAACGUGAAAAGAAUUGGGUGAGUGACACUUCCCUCCCCAUCUGCAACCCCCUCCAAAGAAUUUCAGAACUGUUUUAAUGCUUGACAUUAACUGCAUUUAAUCUAUGCUUAGGUAUGGUGGAAACGAGAUGGUUGCCCCCCAUUUGAGAAGCAGCCGAUUGAAAAGAAAACUGUUCAAGAUGGAGCCAAAAAGCGGUAUGCAAUUGUAGUAGCUAGUCUAUUCAAGUCUUUUCUGCUCUAUAUUUAUUCUGUUUGAAAAUAAUUUUAUCUAUAGGAUAGAAAGAAUCAUACUUUGUUUUCUUGCAUGUUACACAUUUCUGCUUUAGUUAUGUCAUUUAUAAUGUCGGUUGGGUAUGUCUGUAGGAUUCGCCUCUUUCAUACUGUUUGUAGCUUCUGUUCAGUUUAAGUAAGCAUAUUGUUCUUUUAUUAUAUAAGAAUAUGCUGACAAUGUGUGCUAAACCUACCAUUUGAUUUAUUUAUAUUUAAUAGUAGGUUAAGAUUUCCAAAAUCCCUUCAUACUGGUGGGGUAUCAAUGAAAAUCUUUAAAUGAAAUUAGAACGGAAAAUAGGGAAAAAUAGGACGAACUAAUCCUUGUUUUUCUUUUUCGUACCAAUGUUAUUUUCCUGAGCAACUUUAAGAAUGUGAAUGCUGCAUUCAAAUUGAGGAAGCUCUUUAGAAUGAGUGGAAAGCAUCUGGUAUAAAUCAUUACUAAAAUAUAUUAUUAUAUGCAUUUAGUGGUGAUUACAAACACACAUUAGCAUAUGCAUGUAGUGGUGAUUAGAAACACACAUUAUCAUAUGCAUGUAGCGGUGGUUACAAACUAACUAUUAGUUUCUUAAUAUUCGGUAAUAUGUAUGCAGUUAAGUUUUGCUCCGUGGCUUUUCACUCAUAACAUUAUCCCUACAAACCAAAAUGUAUGAUUACAUUGUCCAGCCAUCCCAUGACCUUAAAUCUGUUUUGACUUACUGAGUUUGCUAUGCCCACUUGGGUUUGACUAUAAAUUUAUCAUUAUUUUUUUCAUUCUAAUUCCCCAGGAAGCCGAGGUGGAGAUUGGGAAAUAAAGAACUCUCACAGUUGUGGAAGUGGGCAGACCAGAAUCCGGUAUGAAGUCAGUCAAGCUUACUGCUUAUAAUCUGAAUAAUGUAGAACUGUAUAGCUUAAAUGAGAAAGCCUUACUCAAACGGUGAAGAUUGUCCUGAAUUGUACUGUAGUUUUGUAGGCUGAAAUUUAUCACAACUCACAAGCCCUACAGAAAAAGCUGAUUAUAUAUGGUUCACAUUGAAGUUAACUGAAAAGUUGAAGAGCAUUUUACUGUAAAAUAUAUGGGCUUUUAUCUUCAAGAUGAGUGGAGAAUUGAUAUGUAAAAGAUGCCAUUUGAUACUAUUAUUUUGGCACUCUGCACAUAUGGAGAUUCGCGUCACCAUAAAUUGAAUUUGGAAACAAUCCUAGAGGUCAUUGUCAGGUCAAUUCUAAUUAUAAAGAUGUAGCAAUACUAGUUUCUUUGGAAUAAUUUUUCACUCCGAGUGUUUUGACAUGCAGAAUGCUUUAACUGAUACUCAACGUCUUCGGACCCCUUCCAUCACUGAGUACUGGAAACCCUUGGCUGAGGACGUAAGUUCCUGUGUUGCAUCUGAAUGGUCACCUAUGAUUUUUUUGCUUUUGGGUGUGUAUUAUUAUCUUAUCUUAUUGGAAGAGAUUUGCAUUUUCUCCAAUUUAUUUAAAGUUCAUUUCUUGGAACCACAGAUGGAUCCAGCAGCUGGAAUAGAAGCUGAAUAUCACCACAAAAAUAACCGAGUGAGUGUUUGUUCUAUGAAGGAUCUACUCCGAGCUUUCUAAUUGUCAUAUGGUUACCAGCAUUUUCCUUUCUACAGUUUCACUGUGCAUAUAAUUUUUUAUGGAAGCUGUUUAGGCUGGCAAUAUGUUUAUAGGAUUCAUACUUCUAUUUAGGAGGAAAACAAAAAUGGAAACAGAGGGAGCGGUCGUCGUUCUCUAAUGACCUAAGAUAAGCUGAGAACUUGAAAGCUUAAAGAGAACCGAACUAGAGCCCAGUGGUCCAAUUUCAAAGAAGGCUUUAGGAAGCGGUCUUUCAAAAGUCCUAACCUAUGCCCCAAGUAACGCCCAGAAUCAAAAUGCAUAAGAGAAUAUCUACCUCCUCACCUCCAGCAGAUGUAGACACUACUCUUAUGCCAAAGUAGUAUAUGGUUUUCUUGGUCAAUUAGAAAAAAAAAAUGAAUAAAUGCAACUGCAUACAUCGCGAACAACGAUAGCACCAUAGGUAAUGAAUUGGGCAAAAGUUUCAUGACCUAGAUGAUACUUCAAGCUGUGAGCGAGUGCCAGAUUCCUGUAUGAGCAUCAGUAUGAUCAAUAGUUUUCUUGAUAUGAGAUGGUGUCAUUGCUAAUGUAUAAGGGCUUUUGACUAAUUUGCUCUAUGGCUCAAUUUUGUUUUGCAGCUUUUGCUCUAUUUAAUUUUAACAAUUUUUUAUUUUUUUUAUCUUAUGCAGGUUUACUGCUGGAAAGGUCUUCGAUUUUCAGCUAGACAAGACUUAGAAGGGUUUUCUAAAGUAUGAUUAACAUUGCAACUUUCUCUCUUUUCCCUAGAUUAAUUUAUUCUUGAAGUUUCAUGCCUCUUAUUGAUUGCAGUUUACAGAAUUUGGUAUUGAAGGAGUGGUACCUCUAGAACUUCUGCCCCCUGAAGAACGUGCUAAAUACGCUCCUAAAACAAAUGAGAAGUCCAAACGUGCUAAAAAGGAAGAUGCAAAGGCUGCUGUGCAUCAUGUAGAAGAAAAUCAGGUAUAGUUGGCAGUGUAGCAGUUUCAGCAUAUUGUUUUUUUAUUUUUAUUUUAUUUUAUUUUUUAUCAUAAUAUAUUCAACUGAAACAUCAUGAAGAUUUUGUUUUUUGUUUUACUGCUUUCCGUGACAUCCAAUGUCGCGAUAACGAAACAGGUGCUUGUCAUCCAUCUUGGUCGAUUAUAUUUGAUUUCUUUUUCUUUGGUUGAGAAUGUCCCUCGAUAUUUAAAUAUUAUUCAUACCAUAUUAAAGGAUGUUCAUAUCCUACUAUAUUAUUCAUACUUUUUGUUAAUAUUAUCCUCUGUAUACUUUGUACCUUUUCUUUAGCCUAUCAUCAUUCUUUCUCACGUUUGGAGGGCAAGCUUAUUAUCUACUUAAAAUUAUCAAUUAUCAACUUCUAUAACUAGUUUGCAUAAGAAAAACACUCAAAUGGGAUUGUCUCAAGAUACUUGAAUACGUGCACCUUGAUUUCUUUGCAGUUAUAAUACUUACAACUUACAAUCCCUAUGAUCAUACAUUUUUUUUUCUAUAUCUAUUCCAUUGAAUUACAUCAAUUGUUGACAAUAACAUUGUCUUUGGUGUGGCUAAGGUGGCAACAGCUGCAACUGAUGUAGAUGGUGAAGUACUGAGAACUGAUGUUGGGGCCCUCGUGGCUCCAUUGGACACUGAUAACACCAUGGUUUGCAAUACAUCCCAAGGUAACAGUCCAAUGGCAGAUGAACAUCAGAAGCAAAGUUCUGAUACUGAUGGUGGUCAAGAGGCAGGGCAGUUGGAAGACGAUGCCGAGGUAGAUGCCGAGGGGGAUGCUGGGAUGAUUGAUGGAGAGAUUGAACCGGAGGUUGAUUUAGAUCCAGCUAGCUGACAGAUCUACUGGAUGCUGUUUCUCUGUGGAGCGCCCCGUUCAAAAGGCUUUGCAAAUGCCAGGGCAGCAGUAUGCAAUUGAACAUAGAUGUCAUAUCUUAACAUAUUUGACAAUAUUAGGAUAGCAAUGGAUCCAUGAGAUUUUGUAGUUCGAUUUGUCUAGUGUCAAUUCAUGUAAUUCAUAAUGUGCCCAAAUAUCUGCAACUGUUGGUACAUUUAAUUUUAUCUCUGCGUUUGAUAAUUUUCAGUUCACAUAGUUUUAACCAAGCAAUCUGUCUGGUUAGAAGUUCAGCUUAUUUAAGUUCAGUCCACAUAAUUUUCAGGUCACCAUUUAAUUCCUUUUAAUUUUAUGUUAUAUUGUUUGGCCAACCUGUAACUCCAGACUCUCCAAGCAGGGAUUCUUUUAGCCGAAGCUCGGUAAAAUGCCAGAGUAACGAGUAAUACUCGAAACAGAUUGCUUCCUGUUAGUUCAACCAAACCCUAGGACAAGUCUAGAUCACUCUGAUGGGUUGCUAUCUGGAAGAUUGAAGUUACACUUACUAAUGGAGUGGCUCAGUUGACUUUUGUGUCUUGUUUAAUCCGAAUCUGAUCAUGGCGCCUGAUUUUGUAAGGGAUGUCAUUAGAAAUGACAUGUACUAGUUAUGGUUUUUUAUUCCCUUAACAUCAAUUUCAAAAGAAAAGAAUCCAAUUAUUCCUCACCAUCGUUUGCGAUUCCCUCAACUUCAAUUUCAGAAGAAAAAAAAAAAAAAAAAACCCCUACAUCUAAUUCCUCGCAUAGCGUAAACGAUUCCCCUAAUCCCCUUAACUUUAAUUCAAAAGAAAAGAAGUUAUCAAAUUCUUUAAUGAAAAAAAAUUUUACCAUAGAUACAAAGCGCAUAUCGUAUCUAUUAGUAAUAUCAGCAUGAGUUAUUUUGCAUUGCAUGACUCGUGGUCACACGAGCUCCAUGUUAUCCAAUACACGUGUGAGGGCAUGUCGGGAGUAUGAAUAUCUCAUGAAAAUUGUUAUCUUGUAAUUACGAAUUGGUUUUAAAUGUAAAACUCAAAUUUCACGUAGUGGUUAUAUGUGAAAAUGUGAAAUGGUUGUGUGGUUUGUUACUUAUUAGUGAAGGAGAGUGACAAGGCAAUAGUUUAGAGUGAUGUUGUUUCUUACAAAAUUUUUUGGUGUGGUUGUUGUAUGGAUCUUCCGCAAAACACUGAAAACAUUAAACAUCGUAGUCAGAAAACUGUAUUAGGCAUCAUUGAUUUUCUAAAUUUAUUUUUUGAAAAUGUGCUACCAAAAAUUGCAUUCUAUUUGUAAAACAAAAAAACUGGUAUUUGGGAACAAAAGUAAAAAUAAAAAAAACUUGAGUUACUGUUUUACGAUUUCCUUUAAUUUAAAAAGAAAUUCGUCCAAAUAGUAUACGAACUUUUGCUCCUUAUAAACUUUGGUAUAUCAAGUUUUGAAAAUAUCAAAACGUAUCCCGACCUAAGAUUGGUAUAUGUAGUCAUUAAGAUGACCAAUUUAUCCUUAAUUUUUUUUUCUUUUUUUAUUUGUUUUCAUAUUCUAGAAAUAUUAGAAGAGGUAGUGGAAUUUGAUGAUUUGGGUUGACCUUUAUAAACUUAAAGAAGAUUGAAGAGGGGAAACAUAUAAAAGUUUAAUCUUUGUUAUUUCUGCUGACACUCAAGGAUCUUAUUGUUGCCGUUGACAAUCAAGGAUGAUUGAGAUGAAGAAUUGAUUAUUAGCAAGAAAAAAGUGACGAUGAAUUUUUUCUCUACGUUCUUAAAAAUAUAAAAGCCAAAAAAUAUAAAUUGGAAUAACAAAACAAAGAAGAAAAACUAAAGAAAAAAAAAAGAAUUUAAGGGUAAAUUUGUCAAUUUUUUUGUCUGAGGGUAAAAUAAUCAUCUUAAUAGCUAUAUAUAUCAAUCUUAGGUCGGGAUAAAAAUAUGAGAUACCAAUCUGAUAUUUUUAAAAUUGGAUAUACUAAAGUUUAUAAGGAGAGAAAGUUCGUAUACCAUACCAGACUAUUUCUUUAAUUUAAAACGAAAGGUCUUACUUCUAUUCUCGUCUUUGGUCUCUCUCUCAAUCCAACACUGACUGCACUCCUCUGUCUGUGGGUGUUUCGAUUUGCUGCGAUUCUCUGUUGGGUAAGACAUCUCAGUCUUUCUCUCCAUGUUAGUAUUUUCCUUGCUUCCGAUUCCAAUCUCUAUUGUGUAAUUUGUUAUUUGAAUUGGGUUUAACUUACUUAGUGCUUUGGAUAUUGGGUUAGAUCAUGUUUGAUAUGUAAUUCAUUGAUCCUGUAUAUUCUCUUUUCUGAUUUGGUGAAAUUCUUAUGUAUAUGUUUGAUACGUCUUGCAGACUUGGACACUAGGACCCCUCACAUCUAAUCUAAAUUGCAUUUUGAUCAUACAUUCAUAUAUGUCCUUGGUUUUGCUUGUUUUCGACAGACCCAUCUGAAAGAAAAUUCCCCUAGCUUUUGAAAUGCUUUGAGUCCUAAUGACAUUAUAACGGUCACCGUCUCAAACUUCAUAAUGGUAGAUCAAGAAUAUUGUCCUUGUCGUUGCUAGGAAUUGUAAUCAGGUUUUGUUAUUGUUUGUGCUUAUUGGCCAUAUCUAGGGAAAGCAAAGCGACUUACAUUAAUGGCACAUACAGCCUCAAAUUUGCCGCAACAAUGUCGUGUUAGCACUUGAGUUCCUUUCUAUACAUACAGCUUCCAGAGCUGCACAGAAAUGUUCAAUGAAUAAUUCUUGCUAAAUGAGCCAUUUGUUUUCUUUUCUAUUGCAAGGAUUUUAAGCAGUGUCUGGUUUGGAAGGGUUAAUGAGCAAUUCAAAUGAUGAACCUUACUCAGAAUUUGUACUAGUAUCCAGGAUGUUUCUUUCUGUGCCACUAUGGCUCCUUACCAGCAUCCAAAACUACUAUUCCAGACCUUUUUGGCCUAACACUACAGUUAAACUGGUUACUGGUUAGGCGAAGCUGGUCUCUGCAAUAAGCCUAAGAGGAAAUUAAUGUGGGAUUGACAAGAUUUUCAGUGCUUUUGCUGGGCUUUCUUCUUUGAAUCCCCACUCCCCCACCACACACACACAAUCAUCAUAUUCACCAGCCUUAAUUUAACCACUACUUAACUCAAGUCGGAAGCAUGAGCGGUAACGAUUAACUACAUCCAAAGAAAUCAUGACAACUCAUCGUAGUAAAUCUUGUAACCCAGCCCUUUGGAUUUGCAUCUGUUAUUAUCACUUAUACUAUGUUUUUGGGUUUUUUUCCUUAGGGAAGUAAAUGUGGUGAAGUCUAUUCUUCUUUAGAGUCAAAAGAAAACUGCUUCUCGAUCAAAAUAUAUCCCGCCUAGGGCUGUGUUCUUAGUAAUAUAUGAUUUCUUUAUGAACUUCGGCAUAAAUGAUUAUUAUCAUGUAGUUGUGUAGUGUUUUCAUUGGUUUCAUUUGAUCUAGAAUAAGAUCUAAAACUUAAAUUGAGCCUAAAGCUGACUUUGUGAGCUCACCCUACCAGGUAAUAAAUUCGUGGCACUGCCACUGGCUGAGAGCUACGUUUUUUUUUUUUUUUUUUUUUCACUGGACUGAGCUUUGAGGGUGAUUUGGACUCCAAUCUUAGCAUCAGGUCCGCAAUCUCAAGUACUCCCAUCCUCUUAGUUUGUCUCUUUUUGUGCUCAUCUAUAUUAGUAACACAGCUGUUGAUGCAAAAAAGUAUGUUAUAGUGUCUCUGAUUUCUCGGUUUUGAGUUUGAUUUACCAUUUGAUUGUCUCCAAGUUUUAUCAAUUUUGAUUAGUAUUUUGGUUCCACUGACAAUUUAGGUAAAAGAUUGAGAUCAUUUCAAUAACUGGUUAUGGGGUCUUAUCUGGGUUUCGUUUUAAUGUAAGAGUAAGCCUAAAGGUUCUUUCUCAUACUUCAGGAAAAGUCUAGUGGUUAUCAUUGCAUCUAUCAACUUGAAGAAAGAACAAUUUAUUGUCAACACACCUCUCUCAUCAUAGACAGCUUGAACUCUCUAUUGUGCUUGGAGUGAACACAUCUCUGGUUUUGUUGGCUGAAGUUUAUCAUUCAGAAUCUUUUGUCAUUCUUUUAUACACAGAUAGAAUUAUAAGUCAGCCGGAAAGGAAUGUUGGAGGAGUAAUAGAUGGGGAACUUGUUGGUGAAGAAACCCAAGAUCACCGAAGUUGAUAGAGCUAUUCUCUCUCUGAAGACCCAGAGACGCAAACUUGCUCAGUACCAACAACAGCUGGAGGCUGUAAUUGAAGCAGAAAAGCAAGCUGCAUGGGACUUGAUUCGUGAAAAGAAAAAGCAAAGAGCAUUGUUAGCAUUAAAGAAGAAAAAGGCACAAGAAGAAUUAUUAAAGCAAGUAGAUACCUGGCUUAUUAAUGUUGAGCAACAGUUGCAAGAUAUUGAACUAACAAGCAAGCAGAAAACUGUAUUUGAGAGUUUGAAGGCCGGUAAUAAUGCAAUUAAAGCUAUACAAAGUGAGAUCAACCUUGAGGAUGUUCAAAAGCUAAUGGAUGAUACUGAUGAAGCGAAAGCUUACCAAGAUGAAAUUAAUGCAAUCUUGGGGGAGAAAUUGUCAACAGAAGAUGAAGAUGAAAUUUUAGCAGAAUUUGAGAACUUGGAAGCUCAGAUCACUGUUCAAGAUCUGCCUGAAGCACCUUCUUCGGAACCAUCCCUUGAAGAAGAUGAGAAGUUGGACCUUCCAAAUGUACCAACCAAAGCGCCAGUUUCUGCCAAAACUAAAGUUACGGAGGAACCGCUGUUGGCUUGAUCAACUCAUAACAGUUACAUGUAGCUUGCCAUUCCUCAAACUUUUACAAAUUUCAGUUUUAUCAUCCCUUCUGCGAAGUGCAAACCAUGGUGCGUGUAUAUAACUAUUUAUGGAUUAUAAUUCUGUCAAGUUUGAUUGUGUACAUUGUAGAUUCUUGUUUUCUUUCCCUCUCUCCUCUGCCUCUCUCUUUCCUUUUGAUAUGGAAGCAUAUCACCUUUCUUUUAAUCUUUUUCUUUCCCUCUCUAAUCUCAUUCUCUCUCGCACACACAAUACGUCCAAGUUACUAGAAAAGUGCAUAAGAUGCCUUCGGCUCAUUUGCGUUGUAAGUUGUAACCAGCUGCUUGGAGGUCAGUUGUUAGCUUUGUUUGGGUGGACCUAUUGCUAAAUUAAAGCAAAAAAGUGAUUAUAUGUAAUUGACCCAUAAAAUUACUAGAAUUAUGGUACUUGUGAGCCAAGUAUGUAUAAUAUAUGAUUCUUCUGACACCAACUCCACGGCCCAUCAACAUAAGAAACCAACGGUAUUUAACAGGCUAGAAAAACUGGAAUAAAUCCAAGACACAAACAUUAUGCUCAGACUUGAUCAGAUCACAGUGCAUACAAAACCUCUGAAGAUCAAGGGUUUUCUGUACUAUAUUAUCUGCCCCAUGGGCAUAGGAACAAGGUCUAAUAGAAUUGGUACUUUCUGAUACACAGGAAAAACAAAGAUUUCAUUUUGUUAGCUCCAACAGUUUGAACCUCCUCUCUUGCAUUCCUUCAUGUCCUCUGCAGUAGAAACAUUAUUAGCAUAUGAGCAGACUGAAAUUGAGCAAGUAGAAAAGCCAAAAAAUUUCACCAGGAAGACCGAUGCAAGUACCUGCUGCAUUGGAAGGUAUAGUUUAAAUUCAGGAGGAAGUUCCUCUUCAGAGUACAAGCGGUCAGAGAAAUAUAUCCUCCUCAGGCGACAAUUUGCAUGGACCUGAACUCUCAAUGUCUCCACAUAGUUUGUUCCAUAGGCUCUUCUGGUAAAAUCAGCCAGAUUAAAUUGGAUUUGAUUCCAGCCCUCAUCCAUCCUCAGUGGCAUGGUGCAGAUAUACGGUUUUACUCGAGUGACAGCCUAUAAAAGAUAAAUAAAUAAGAACCCAUUUGUAUUUUAUUCCCUUUAAUAUUUCCAGAGCAGCAUAUAAUCAAUUUGAUGCAGAUCAUAUCAGCCACUGUUGUUAUAAUUCCAAACACAAGGCUCGGUUAAAGACACAACUCUUUACCAAGAUUAGUUGUACUUGAACAGCAAUCAACCAGUAUAUAUAACCAUAAAACAUGGAAAUUUCACAAAUCCCCAGGUAGUCCAAAAGUUGUGUAUACCAUUCACAACAGAAUAUAUAAACACCAUGUUCACACAUUAAAUCAAUGAAAACAGAUUAAUUACAGACUACACUACACUAUUCCUAAGAAACAUUCUACAGGAGUGAUCAAUGCGUUCGAAUCCUGCACUGCUCAUAAUUAAAGCAAACUAAGAGGUUUUAAGUUUCUUUCGUUCAACUUCUUAAGCAAUGUAGAAAGCAGCCAUCAGGAGUUACCAGAACAUGACUUGAAAUACCAAAAGAAAAAGAUAAAAGAAAACAAGAAAGAAAGCCAUGUCAAUGAUCAACAUCAAUAAACAGGGGCAAACUUACACACUUGAAAAUUAGAAGCUCGGAAACGUCGCCUGACAUUCUUAUCGUCCAGAACUUGAAUCUCGAAAGUGAAAUAUUUCUUCAGAUUCUUCACAAUCAUAACAAGGAAUGGAAGUUUAAUACUCAGUGUUGCUGAUGGAUCUGCUGGGCAAGUAAUGUAUGUGGAUUGGAUAUUCGAUCCAACAAUUUCAAGGACAUUGGAUUGUAUGUCUUCAUCCUGUGGUCUCUUUAUAUGGCCAUUGACCACUGCUUGACACAAAAUAAAAAGUUACAACAAGGCGCAAACAUCCUAAAGGCAUCAGCAUAUAAGACAAAGGUAUGAAGUAGAAAAACAUUUGUUUUUGCACUAGCACCAGAUUCCGUUGUAGUUGAAGCAAGUACAGAACUAAAGUCCUGUAGUCAAACAUAGAAUCAAGUCUACAAACUAUCCAAAUUGUUUGCCGAAUUAUUGCAAGGCUCCUUAUCAGCAGAUUUAAACAUCAGUCACCAAUGUCAACAAAUAGCCAUAGUUGAUCAACAUGGAUGAAGUAGACGAGGCAUGAUAACAACAUACAUUAACCUAGAUAAUAAAUACUAAAGAAAACUUGCAACUCUUAGUGUCUAACCUAGCAGAUGAAGAAUUGAAAAAAGAACAUUGACCCAUGAUUAUACACCACACUGAUAACCUUAAGAAAAAAGCAUACUACUUUAAUCCCUGAGAUGCAAAUUGAAACUUGUUCGGCUGACAAUAAGAAACAAAAUGUGUACUUAUAUUGACUUGAAAUCAACAAAGCAAUAUCUGAAGUUGAUUAAUAGGUUGUCGGGACUCACCUUCUUUAUCCCAUAUCUGCAGAGGUUUGCUCCUAAUUAUCCACAAAAAAUGUACAGCUUAAACAUAAAUAAAAAACACAAGUAUGAUGUAUCCCAAAAAAAAAAAAAAAAAAAGAAAAAAAACACAAGUAUGAUAAACGAAAACUGAAAAACACAAAGAGGAAAAUUACCCAAGGCUGUAGAGAAUGGACAGAAAUCCAGAUUGGAAUGUGUUCUUGAACAUUUUUUACUUGUUGCUGAAGUCGAGCUGCAAGCAAAGCCAUUCACACAAUGAACAAUUUGUAUGAUGAAAGAGUAACAAGGAGUUGCGUUUAGAUUUAGAUGAUUGUCGGAACCUGUAUUUACUUACCUGAAUAAGACUACUCCUUUGAACCGUAAACAGCGAUUGCAAAGCGUCCAAGCCCUAAGCCCCAAUUUCUUUCUCUCUUUCUGAAGAAGAAGACCCCCCUCCUUUUUGUUGCCCAAUCACUCCUUACAGGGUUGUUUGCAAAGAAAAAACUCGAAAAGGACUUCUUCUUUUUUUCUUUUUCUUUAUUUCUGUUUUAUUAUUAUUAUUAUUAUUAUUUUACACGGAAUAAAUUCCUUUGACGGUUACAACAGUAAUAAAAUAAAACGUUACAAAUUAAAAGACCUAAAAUGUUUUAAAAUGAGAGUCACCAAAUUAGCUUGAUUGAAAGCUCGGGCAGAAUGUGUAAUUCUAGAACCAGUCAUCCGUAGCAGAUCAUUGAUAAUGUUAUCAUGCAUACUACAUUGACGAGUAUGUGGAAUGAUGAACUGCUGUGGAAAAGUAUAGAUACCUAAAAUAUGAAAAUAAACUGAAAUUAAAAUGGAAACAAAAAUUAAAAAGACACCAAAACAGUCCUUGAUAAGUUGCCAGCGCAAAACCAAGAUCCAAGACAGUAAGAGCAAGUUUACCCGUUAGUUCAUCGUUGGGAUGAAUUAGAUAAUAGGUGUGACUUGGGUCACACUGUGUCAUUGCUAUUGAGUAGCAGCUUCCGCCUAAUUUGAUUCAGAUUCUAGGUCGACGUCACAUGACAGUGAUUUGUUUUUAAAAAAAUUUAGGUUCUACAUGAACUUUCAAAUUUAAUAGUGUUUGGUAAACUAAAGAAAAACAAUUUUUUUUGAAAUUACAGGUGACUGACAGCAGUUUUUAAAAGCAACCUUUUAGAAGAUGUUGUCAUCAAAAACUCUAGAAAUUAAUAUAUUUUGUCUUGGCCGUACUUCUAAAACUAAUAUUUACCAAACACAAAACGAUUUUAAUUUAAAGUUGAUUAAUUUUGAAGAAUAGCAGCAGCAGUUUCUUUUUAAAGUCACAGUAAUACCAAACUAAUAAUCAUCUCAAUAACCCAAUUUAGCAGUAUAAUAAACUGUUGAACGUCUGAAAUCAUCUCAAUUUUGCUUCUUCUACGAUUCCCUAUUCUGAUUCUAAUGUUCCUAAUGCUUUUGGUUUCUGCUUUCAAGCUUUGAAUCAAAGUCUCGUGGUUACAAACCUAAAAACCCACUUCAAUAGCGAUAAAAGCAAGAUUUAGUUUUUUUAAACUUCUCUCUUUUUUUCGAUCCUGAACAAAUAUCUUCUUUCAAUCUUCUUUAUUUUUCAAUCCCACACAGACCUCACCCAUUCAUGAUUUCCAAACAUAUCAUACCAUCUCAACUUUACAAAAAAAAAAAAAAUCAUCAUCUUUCUACACGUCAAUAAGCUUUAGUCUUUCUUUGAAAUCAAAUCUUGGUGUUUAGCUUUCUACAUACAGUUAGCCUUAAAAAAAAAGCAGAUGCUGAAGAACUAGCUAGGAAGAAUGAAAGAAAAGAGAAGAACUUGGGAAGAAAGAAAGAGGAUAGAGAAAUAAUAACUAAAAAAAAUGGUAGUUUGGUUUCCCAUCGUCAAAUUUGACAAUGUUAUACUAAAUGUCAAAUACAUGUAGAAAGUGGCAACAACCACGUUGAAUUGACAUUACCAUUGGAGCUUCCUAGAUUUGUCAAAAAACUAGUUGUUGGGCUAGCUCAUAUGACAAAAAAAAAAGACAUAUUCUCUAGAGAUGCUCUAAAGUACUAUAAUUUAUUACAAACUUAAAAACAUACAACUUAAAAAAGUUAUAAUGCCAAAAAAAAAAAAACAAAUGAAACCAAACCACGGUUUGAUUUGAUUUCUAGUUUAAUGUCUCAAAAAAUGCCAAACCAAAAAAGAAAUUAUAAUUCGGUUUAGUUUCCAGUUUUAAGUGAAAACCGAACUUAAUAAAACCGAACUCACCCCUAAUAAUAAGUGCAUUUAUAAGGAGGUGAAUUGCAUCAUUGACCUUGAUAUCCCCCUAAAACCAUUUUUUUCCUAGUGGCUAUACAUAACCAUCUUUUCUCGAUAAACACCAACCCGGCGAAUUUCAAUGACCCGUCAAACACCGAUUUUUUUUUAAUGAGGAUCUUAAUCCCGAUAAUUAGAGUUAGAAAAUUUCAAAGUAUUGUAUUUUUUUUUCUAGGCUUGGUUUGUCAACUAUAUUUUUUUUAAUAUAAACAACUAAUAUUCUACAACGAAUAUAAUGAAUCUAUUGUGAGUCAAACUCACGACUUUUCACUUACAAUAAGAGACUUAUGCCACUAAACCAAUCGGUACUGACAUAGGUGCUUGGAAAGCUCUACGAAAAGGGGUCUUAAUCCAUAUAUUGGAAGCAUUGAGGUUGGGUAUGGCGCUAGGGAUGGUUCGUUGUGGAUCGGUUUGGUUUUUAGCUUAAUUAUUUAUUUCAUGAAAAUUGGCUAUGGUUUUGUAGUUUGUUCCAACCAUUAUGUUUGUUAUCAAGCAUAUGGUUGAGGGAGGGUGUUAGAAUUAUGGGAAUAUAGAGCAGGGUGUUUUGGUUAUUUUGCUGUAAUCUCUAGCUAUAUAAACUCUUGUAACCUAUAUUUUACAUCAAUGAGAAUAGCCACAAUGUAGCCUCAAAGUGUUCUUGCUCUCUUUUUACAAUUUCUGCAUUUCCAUUUCAAUAGAUCCAUACAUCCUAUUAUCCUACACCAAUGACUGCUUUAGAGUGCCUAUUUCAGUUGUCUACAUUACAUUUCAAGGUUGAAAAAGCUACAGCUAAACCUCCUCAUAGGCAUAAAGGGGAUCCAAAACCAUAAAGUGGACAAUGAAAAAAAUGCAAGCAUUUUUUUUUUCAAUUGUCAUAUUGGAAAAACUUACUCAUUCGUCACAACUUAGAUGUGAUGCAUAUUGAGAAAAACAUAUGUGAUGUUGUUUUAGAAACUUUACUAGAAAUUGAUGACAAGAACAUGCACGUGCUAACUUGGAACGAUUGAAUAUAUCACCAAUAUUGCAUCCUCAAUGGCUAGGUCCAAAAACUUUCUACCCUCCAGCUAUAUUAUUACAUUGGCUAAUGAUGAAAAGACUAUGAUAUUCGAAGUGUUGGCAUCGUUCAGGCCUCUUGACAGCUUCUCCUCUAACAUAGCUAGUUGUGUCCAAGUAAAAGAAAA
rnacentral:lncRNA from 1 species